GAGUUUUUCCAAAGAUCCACCCGAGAAACACUCUGUUAAUGGAAUUGGAUAUUUCAUACACAGGAAUCUCCGGUGAGCCGCCUGAUUCAAUUGGCACCUUGAAUUCAUUGAAUAUCUUGAAUCUCCAAGGACGUCAAUUCUCUGGCCAUAUUCCUGAUUCCAUAGGCAACCUAACACAAAUUACAGAGUUGAUUUUAAUCUUAUAAUCAUUUCACUGGCCAUAUUCCUUCCACAAUCUCUAAAUUGAAGCACCUCACAAGUUUACUUCUUCGGUCCAACUCCUUUUCAGGUGAAAUUCCUGAUGUUUUCUCUAACAUCCAAGAGCUACGCUUUUUAGAUCUUUUUGAUAACAGCGGUUCGUUUCCCUCUUCAAUUUCAAACUUGACACAUCUUCAACGGUUAGACUUGUUGAGUAAUUCCUUAUCUGGCCCACUUCCUAAUAAUGCGAGCAAUCUUCAAAAGCUAACCCAAGUGGAUUUGUAUGACAACUUACUGAAUGGUACCAUACCAUCUUGGUUGUUUAGCCUCCAUCUGCUAACACUUUUUUUGUCGCUCAGUAGAAAUCAAUUUAGUGGACUACCCGAUGAGCUCAAACCAAAUCCAGCAUUAACAAAAGUGGAUUUAAGCAAUCACUUGUGAAUCUCACACACCUUUAUAACCUUGACCUUUCAUCAAAUAACAUCACCGGUCCAUUUCCCGCUUCAAUUUUAAGUUUGACACAUCUUGAAUAGUUAAACUUGUCGAGUUAUUCCCUAUCUGGCCCACUGCCUAGCAAUGCAAGCAUGCUUCAAAAGCUAACUUUUGUGGAUUUGUCUUACAACUUGCUAAAUGGUACCAUACCAUCUUGGAACCUCCCUUUGCUAUCUUUGUUGUGGCUCAAUCAUAAUCAAUUUAGUGGACUAGCCUAUGAGAUCAAAAUAAACCCAGCAUUAGAAUUUUUGCAUUUAAAUAAUAAUCAACUCAGUGGUUCUUUUCCUCAAUCACUUGUGAAUCUCACAAACCUUUUUGCCCUUGACCUUUCAUCAAAUAACAUCACCAUUGAUGAGGGAAUGAAUAUCAUCUUUCCUAGCCUAUCAUCUUUAUUCUUAUCAUCUUGUGGACUGAAGAAUUUUCCACACAUCUUGAGAAAUGUAAAGACACUUCAGGUCUUGGAUAAUUCUAACAAUAAUAUUUGUGGUCAAAUCCCUAACUGGUUUAGCGGCAUGAGGUGGGACUUGUUGCAGUUCCUAAACCUUUCUCAUAAUUCAUUGACAGGCCACCUACCACAAUUUCAUUACUAUAACGUACAGUAUCUUGAUCUGAAAUUUAACUCCCUUCAGGGUCCACUACCUUCAUCCAUUUGUAACAUGAGCAAACUUAUCUUAUUAGAUUUAUCACAUAACUACUUCAGUGACUCAAUUCCAAGUUGCUUGGGAAGCAUGGCUAAUUUAAGGGUGUUGGACUUAAGAAGGAACAAUCUCACAGGGAGUAUUCCCAUUAUGUGCACACAACACUUCAUUGAGUGCCAUUGUUGUAAAUGGUAAUCAAUUUGAAGGACCUGUACCUGUGUCGUUGCUCAAGUGUAAUGGUCUAGAAGUCCUUGAUGUGGGGAACAAUGCUAUAAAUGACACGUUUCCAGCUUGGCUCGGAACCCUUCAAGAGCUGCAAGUCCUUAUAUUAAAGUCAAACAAGUUCCAUGGACCUAUAAGUACUUGUCAGACUAAGUUUUGCUUUCCCAAGUUGCGAAUUUUUGAUCCUUCAUGUAAUGAUUUCAGUGGCUCACUUCCUGCAAAAGUUUUUGGAAACUUCAAGGCAAUGAUCAAAUUAUAUGGCGAAGACACAAGAGAGAUCAAGUACAUGGAACCAUCUGAGGAGCCAUCGUACGUAUCGUAUGAGGAUUCAGUGUGUUUGGUGGUAAUCAAAGGGCAGAAUAUUGAGCUACAAAGAAUCAGCACAAUUACGACAACCAUAGAUCUCUCAAGCAACCAUUUUGAAGGUGUGAUUCCGAAAACACUAAAGGAUCUCAGCUCACUUUGGCUACUCAAUUUAUCCCGUAACAAUCUCAGAGGCGAUAUUCCAAUGAAACUAGGACAAUUGAGUAUGCUUGAAGCUUUAGAUAUCUCUUGGAAUCGGCUCACUGGAAAGAUUCCACAGGAAUUGACAAGAAUGAACUUUCUGGCCUUCUUAAACCUCUCUCAAAAUCAUCUCGUCGGACCAAUUCCUCAAGGUCCACAAUUCAACACAUUUGAAAAUGACUCAUAUGGUGGCAACCUUGAUUUAUGUGGUCUUCCUUUAACAAAGAAAUGUGGAAUGAGUGAUUCAUCGCAUGUUCCUCAACAGUUGGAGUCCGAAGAAGAAGGCGAGUCAUAUUUUUUUAGUGGAUUUACGUGGGAAUCAGUAGUCAUAGGCUACAGUUUUGGACUAGUUGUUGGAACUGUCAUGUGGAGUCUCAUGUUUAAAUAUCGUAAGCCAAAAUGGUUUGUGGAAUUUUUCUAUGGACUCAUGCCUCACAAAAGAAGAAGGCCAAAGAAGAGAGCUCAGAGAUGACAGACUUAAUGGAAGAUUGAGAGGGCCAACUUGUUUUUGAUUGAUUUUGUGGACUAAUUAGUGAACUUUUCUGGUUCUGUUUUUGUCUUUUCAAUUUUCUGUUUGUUAUUUGUAUAUGUUUGAUAGAAACAUAAUUAUAUAUGAGCCAUUUAAUUAGUAUCAAUGGUUAUUCAAGUUAUGUUUCUGUUUCAAGUUGACAUAAGUGAUCCACACAGCCACUUAUUAAUUAGCUAUGUUACUCGGACUUUUCAAAAAUGCCAACGGGUACUUGUUGGAUUCUUCAAAGUAUUGCAUUUCUCAAGGAACCAACACAGGUGUGACAUCAUUAUAUUUUAGGAGAGUUGGAGCAACAUAGCUCAUUAGUACAACAAAAAGGAAAAAGCAAAGCAGUAAGCAUAUAGAGUUUGGUUCAUGAUUGAAAUCACUUGAUAUUAGAAAGUUCAUAUAUUCAGCAUAACUGCAUGUCCAUUUUACAUUACAGUUCUUCUUAUACAAACUAGAAAAGAAAAUCUUGUGUUUACAGAAACUGAAAAUUGAUUUUCUAUAAUGUAAUACAUUUGCAUUGACCACACUACCCUUAUGUCACUGUGUUUUACAGGUUACCAAGUCUAAGAAAAAAAGUAAGAUUUUUUAAAUUUGUGAUUUUGAAUAUGACGUGCGAUUUUUGUGGCUAAUUAAUUACAUAUAUGCAUCAAAUCAUCUUUUAUUUGAAUAGCUUCGCCUUCUUAUAUGAACAAAUGACGCUUGCUCAAGUGGUUGAGCAUCUUCAUCAUUAGCCGGCAUACUAGAGAAUAAGUGGAAACACUAUGAAUCCUCCUAAAGUUGGGUCGGAACUCGAGGCUCAGUUAACCUUUUUUCUUUGUUGCUUAAUCUAAUACGAGAUUUUAUUAAUAAUAGAGUGCAAACUAGCUGUAAAGUAUCAACUUUGUCCCCAUUACGUUUUUUUCUACUACAAAAAAACUAGAAAAGUGAGAAGUGUUGUGGAAAAUUAUAGAAUGUACCUAACAUGUUUGAAAACAACUAAUCAGGAAUUUCUGAUAUUAUUUCUCUGCAAUCUUUAACAUUAAAUAUUGACCAAGUCAAGUAUCUCUGGUGGUGGAAUUAGAAUGUUGAGUUAGCUUUACUUUUAUUUCUUUCUUGUUUAAGAUCUUAUAUUUAUAAAAUAAGGCAACAUGUCCUAUCAUUAUUAUACUAAAUUUAUUUUUCUUCUUGUUUAAGAGCUUAUAUUUCUGUAAAGACUCUGUAUGUAAUAUUUUUCUUCUUUCUUUUGUUUUUCUCUUGAUUAGACUUUUUAAAUUUGAUUUUCUAUGAAUUUCUUAAUGUCGUAAGUUUUUGUUUGUGCUCAAAUUAGCCAUUUGUGAUUUAAUUGAAAGUGUUCUAACUACUAAUCAAAGUUUAAAAUUUAUAAUUAUUAGUGUGAAAGGAAUUAAUUUUAACAUUAAAAUAUGACCCUCAUUUGAUCACACUUUUAAGGAUUUAUUUAUAAUUAUUACAUUUUAUUACUCAAUACAUAUAUAUUUUCAUAUAAUUUUUAAUUGUUUUGAGAUGUAUAAAAAUUUAGAUGAAACACAUGUGCAACUCAGAAACUAGUAUAUAUACAUGGAUUUUGUAAGAAGAGAACAUCCAUCCUGUUAUUUGCUGAAAACAAACAAACAAAAAAUGGUCAUGAGUCUCUUUUUCUUUUAUUCAUUUCUCUGUUUUGUGUUGCUAAUAAGUGAAUGCUUUUCUUUUUCCUUUGAGCAUCAUCUUUGCUCUCCCACUGAAGCUUAUGCUUUGCUUCAGUUUAAGCAAUCCUUUAAAAUAUCUGAUUACUCUAGUUUUGAGUGUGAUACUUCUUUUCCAAAAACAAAUUCUUGGAAUGAGAGUAGGGAUUGCUGCAGUUGGGAUGGAGUCACUUGUAACUUAUUAAACGGUCAUGUUAUUGGGUUAGACCUUAGUUGUAGUCUGCUUGGUGGAAGUAUUCAUCCCAAUAGCAGCCUCUUCCAACUUCAUCAUCUCCACACACUAAACCUUGCUUACAAUGACUUCGAUUAUCCUUCUUCAAUCCCACAUAACAUUGGUCAAUUGACGAAUUUGAGGCAUCUCAACCUUUCUCAUUCUCACUUUGAUGGAAAAAUCCCAACAGAAAUCUCAUACCUUUCCAAUUUGGUUUCACUUGAUCUUUCUUCUUUUUAUGGUUAUGUUUUACAACUUGAUGAGAGAACAUUUGAAACAAUGCUUCACAACUUCACAAAUCUGGAGCUACUUUCUCUCUCUUUUGUCAACAUCUCAUCUCCGAUGCCUGUGAAUGUUUCUUCCUCCUUAAGGUACCUCGAUCUUGGUUAUACUAAUAUGCGAGGUGUUCUCACAGAGAGCUUUUUCCUUCUGUCAAACAGCUUGGAAACGCUCAAAUUAAGUGAUAAUGAUCUUCUCAAAGGAGUUUUUCCAAAGACCCACCCGAGCAACACUCUGUUAAUGGAGUUGGAUAUUUCAGGCACAGGCAUCUCCGGUGAGCUGCCUCAUUCAAUUGGCACCUUCAGUUCCUUGAAUAUCUUGAACCUCUAUGGAUGUCAAUUCUCUGGUUCCAUUCCUGAUUCCAUAGGAAACCUAACACAAAUUACGGAGUUGCUUUUAUCUUAUAAUCAUUUCACUGGCCAUAUUCCUUCCACAAUCUCUAAAUUGAAGCACCUCAGAAUUUUAUAUCUUUCUGACAAUUCCUUCUCAGGUGAAAUUCCUGAUGUUUUCUCUAACCUCCAAAAGCUAUACUAUUUAGAUCUUUCUGAAAACAGCUUCACUGGUCCAUUUCCUGCUUCAAUUUUAGGUUUGACACAUCUUGAAUACUUAGACAUGUCGAGUAAUUCCCUAUCUGGCCCACUACCUAGCAACCAAAGCAUGCUUCAAAAGCUAACUUCUGUGGAUUUGUCAUACAACUCACUGAAUGGUACCAUACCAUCUUGGGUGUUUCGCCUACCUUUGCUAUCUUCAGUGUCGCUCCAACAUAACCGAUUCAGAGGACUAGCCGAGGAAGUGAUCAAAACAAACCCAACAUUAAAACAACUGCUUUUAAGCAAUAAUCAACUCAGUGGUUCUUUUCCUCAAUCACUUGUGAAUCUCACAAACCUUGAAACCCUUGGAAUUUCAUCAAAUAACAUCACCAUUGAUGAGGGAAUGAAUAUCACCUUUCUUAGCCUAUCAUCUUUAUUCUUAUCAUCUUGUCAACUGAAGUAUUUUCCACACUUCUUGAGAAAUGUAAACACACUUGAGGGCUUGGAUAUUUCUAACAAUAAGAUUUGUGGUCAAAUCCCUAACUGGUUUAGCAGCAUGAGGUGGGACUCAUUGCUGUUCCUAAACCUUUCUCAUAAUUCAUUAACAGGCCACCUACCACAAUUUCAUUACUAUAACCUACCACAAUUUCUGUUUCAAGUUGACAGAAGUGAUCUACACAGCCGCUCAUUAGCUAUGUUACUCAAACUCUUCAAAAAUGUCAAUGGGUACGUGUUGGAUUCUUCAAAAGUAAUGCAAUUUUUAAGGAACCAACACAGGUGUCAUUAUAUUUUAGGAGAGUCGAAACAACAUAACUCAUAUUUCUUAACAUUUUCUGCUUCUACAUUUAUUGCUGUUAAAGAUCAUUGCUUGAAAUGGCUUAACUCAUACACACAGAGGAUAGCAACUAUUGAGCUGUUGACUGAAGUGUUCCAUUUAUUAAUACAACAAAACAGGAAAAGGCUACAUCCACCUCUGGGGCUCAUGUUGUUCUGUUUCUUCAAAUGCAAAACACUCUCUAUCAUGAUAUUCUUUAUUUUCAAGGUUCGAAUCUGAAACCCUUGGUUCAAUUUUACCUGGAACCAUUCAUUUAGCAUAACUAGAUGUCUUAUCGCAUUAUAGUUAUUAUACAAAGUGAAAAAAUUCAAGGGAUAAUAAGACCAUCUCAAAAAUCGGGUGUGUAACUGAAAAAUCUGACUCGACUUUAAGGGUAUACUUAGGGUGGUUCAAAAUCGAACCAUAACCGAUAGGCCAAUCGCAAAAUUGGCUUAUUUGUAUUGGAUUAUCGGAUUAACGGUUGAUCAACGAUUAAAAUUUUAUAGUUACGGUGCGGUGGCAGAUUACUCAAUUUCCUUAGGGAAAAUUACGCGGAAAAGCAAACAUAUACUAGUUAAUUAGCUAAUAUAGAUAUCACGACCCAAGUCUACACCCUGGAUGUGGCCGGCACUCAAGAACCAUUGUUGAUCCCCAAGCGAACCCUCAUCCUGACAGACUAACUUAAGCAUGCAAAAGCUUAAAAUUGAAAUUCAAUAAACUCAACUUUGUAAAACAUUAACUCAAAUGAACAACUUAGAAUAAAAAUAAUAUAUUCAACUCGCCAUAAAAUAGGCAACUUAAGUCUUUAAAACAUUUAAUAAAAUAAAUAAAUAAUACAGACUUUUCAACUAUACUGACUAUCUGUGAAGCCUCUAACUAAUAAAGAUAGAAGUCGAGACAAGACCCACGACAUCAUGACUAAACUAAAAAGUAAAUGAAAUCCUCCGGAAACAAGGAGGCUCACCAUAGCUAACUCGAACUCCCGGAUGUAUCAACGAAUCUCCUGUUAAUGAUCCUGAAUACAUAUGUCUGCAUCAUGAAAAGAUGCAAGCCAAAUGGCUCAGUACGUGGAAUGUACGAGCAUGUAAGGGGAAUUCUAAAACAUAAACAUAAGCUUGAAACUUGAUAAAAAGGAGACAUACUUUCCUCUUUUCAAACUUACUCAACUAAAGGAAUACUCAAGGACACUCAAAACUACUCAAACUUACUCAACUCAGAAGUACUCAAGGAUAAGAAACUCAACUAAGUAAUAAUUUUCUCAACUCAGUGAAACUCAACAAUAAGGUACUCGACACAAUGAANNNNNNNNNNNNNNNNNNNNNNNNNNNNNNNNNNNNNNNNNNNNNNNNNNNNNNNNNNNNNNNNNNNNNNNNNNNNNNNNNNNNNNNNNNNNNNNNNNNNNNNNNNNNNNNNNNNNNNNNNNNNNNNNNNNNNNNNNNNNNNNNNNNNNNNNNNNNNNNNNNNNNNNNNNNNNNNNNNNNNNNNNNNNNNNNNNNNNNNNNNNNNNNNNNNNNNNNNNNNNNNNNNNNNNNNNNNNNNNNNNNNNNNNNNNNNNNNNNNNNNNNNNNNNNNNNNNNNNNNNNNNNNNNNNNNNNNNNNNNNNNNNNNNNNNNNNNNNNNNNNNNNNNNNNNNNNNNNNNNNNNNNNNNNNNNNNNNNNNNNNNNNNNNNNNNNNNNNNNNNNNNNNNNNNNNNNNNNNNNNNNNNNNNNNNNNNNNNNNNNNNNNNNNNNNNNNNNNNNNNNNNNNNNNNNNNNNNNNNNNNNNNNNNNNNNNNNNNNNNNNNNNNNNNNNNNNNNNNNNNNNNNNNNNNNNNNNNNNNNNNNNNNNNNNNNNNNNNNNNNNNNNNNNNNNNNNNNNNNNNNNNNNNNNNNNNNNNNNNNNNNNNNNNNNNNNNNNNNNNNNNNNNNNNNNNNNNNNNNNNNNNNNNNNNNNNNNNNNNNNNNNNNNNNNNNNNNNNNNNNNNNNNNNNNNNNNNNNNNNNNAUGUGGAAUUAUGAGCAUGAACUACUCAACUCAAGACUGUUCGACUUAUAGGAUUCAUGCCAAAUUAUGGGCAUGAACACUUCAACUCAAGGACUUCAUGAGUAAUAUGAAAUAGUUCCAUGAUUAGAAAAUAUAAUCUCAAAGGGGAUUGGGAACUCAAUACUCAAGACUUAGAACUUAAAGAUAUUACCCCUCUCAAUGAUGCUCAAUUUAUGAAGUCUAUGCGGAAUUUAUGGGCAUGAACGACUCGACUAGAAGGUCUACAAACUACAUGGAAUUCAUGUAUAUGACACUUCUCAUUCUCUUACUUACCACCUCAAAACUUAGUUCAAAUCGAUAGUUGAUCUCAAAGGAUUCACAAUUGAACUCAAAGGCUUUCUUGAACUCUAUUCUUAACUUUCUCUUGAAUGUGAAUUAUGAAUUCAAGAGUUAUGGUUCAUGAUAUGAAGGAUAUCAUGAUGACAAAGUAUAUUCAUGAAUACAUUCUCCUCAUCCUCAUACUCACUUGCUCGAGUCUUGAAACAAGUUACUAGAAGUUGUAGAAAACUCCUCAAAAGAGCUCAAAGGGGCUUUCUGAGAAUGUUCGAAAGAAUUCUCAAAACUUAACUCUUAACUCUACCUUGAAUUUGAAUUAUGAAUUCAAGGUUAUGAUAAUGUUAGGAAUGAUUUUAGGUGUUUAGAAGUAUCUUAGAGUAGUUAGAAUCGAAAAGGAGUGAAUGUACCCUUCGAAAGAACUCAAACGAAGCAACCGAUUGCAAACUGGACGGGGCAGGAGACCCUGGGGCUAUGGGUGGCGCGGGGAGCCAGCCCCUAAACUUCAGAGCAUACUUUGGGGCGCUCUGGUUGGCGCUACGCGCCAGGACCCAACCCAGAAGACCCGACGAAAUUCUUUGCUAGUUUUCUCACCCUAUUUCGCUUAGAAUCGAGCGGUUUCUUCCCCAAUCACUUGGAUUCGAUUAUUUAACAUAAGUACACUCUAAUAUAUUCAAUACAGCCCUAAAAACACUCACAUUAAUCUCAAGAAAUCAUCAAAACUUCAACAAAACAAGAUUUAAAAUGAACUUCAAGAACACCUAACAAGAAAUCAUCAAGAACUCUAAUCCUUCAACUUUAAGAACAAAAUUGCGCUGAAAACAACAUGAUUGGCGUGUUGGUGAACAAAUCCAACACUAUGGAAGCUUACAUACCUCUUAGGGAUUAAACCCAUGGCGAAAAUCCGCAACAAAAUGCAAGACUCUCGACGAACGCUUUGAUCAUCUCCUCUUUUCUCCUCUUUUCUCUUCUUGAACUCUCAACUAAAACUCUAGGCUAAUUUUAGGAUUAUAAAACUGAACCUAAUAGGAUUAGACCCUUAAAACCUUACUAAAAAUGAAUUAAAUCCGAUUUGGUAAGGAAAAGACUAAAAUACCCCUCUAAAAUCCGGUUUUGACUUUCCUUAUCUAGACAACCCAACUUCGAAUGCACAUAUCUCCCUCAUACCAACUCAAAAACUGAGAAAACUCGGUGGCGUUGGAAAGAUAAUUCAAAGAUCUUUCCUACGGUAUCUGGUAGCACACCUAAAUCAUUCUGAGAUAGGAGUUAUGGUCGUUUGAAGUCAACCCAAAACUCAUACUUAGCUUAACUUGCAAAAUUUCAAAUAUUUGUUAUUUCCAAUUUAGUUCUUUUUGAUACUCAGGUGCUACAUCUAGUGACCUGACCUUAACACUUAAGAAAUUUUAAAUUCCUUAGUAAAAUCCUACUCACAACGAAGGACGGUUCAAGUCUUAGCUCAAAAUUUUUCUGGGGUGUUACAAUAGCUAUAGUUUGAAUUAAUUACGGCUCGCAACUUAAUUUUAGCUUUAAUUACGCCACUUGUCCUCUUUUAUACAUAUACAAAUACAAAUUAUACACAUAUAUACUCUUAUCGUAUCAUUGACUAAUGAGUAAUUUCUUAACAAGAAACCUUAAUGAUACCAAUAAAGUAUAUAUAUACUGAUUUAGUAUCAAUUUAGCGAAAUUAUCAGCCUUAAUGAUAUCAAUACAGUAUAUGAUAUUGAUUUAGUAUCAGUUAAGCGAAAUUAUCAACCUUAAUGAUACAAAUACAGUAUAUGAUACCGAUUUAGUAUCAGUUAAGCGAAAUUAGUAAGAGGGUAUAUAGUGUAAUUAUUUAGUGGGGUAUGAAUGUAAUGCGGUAUAUGUUUGUAAUUAUUUUGCUUUUAUGGGGUAUUUGCUUAUUUUCCCCUUUUCAUAAAUCUAACUUGAGGUGGGCUGAGUUCUAUUAAAUGUCGGUUGGGCUUGUUUUGCAAUUUCUAAAAGCCCAUUAAGUUUUGGCAUCUAUAUAUAUUUGGGUCAUUCACCAUGAAGUUAAGGAUUAAAAAAAUUUCUUUCCAUAUGACAUUCAUAUUUAAACGAAUUUAAAUUAUAUAUACCAACAAUAUAAAGUCUACAAUCAGUAUAAUUUAACGUGUUCUAGUUAGCAUGUUGUUUACCUUGAUUUGCAGGUUAUUAAUUUCACUUAUAAUGAAGAGUCAUGAUCUAUAGUUACUUUUAGACGAGUUGACAGUAAGAAAAUUUCUUUAAAGCUCUAGCAUACAAUUUUUCGAGAAACAAAAAAUAUAACAAAUGGAGAUAAGCCUAAAAUACCUUCGAACUAUUGGAAACGGAGGUACACACCACUCUCUUCAGACCCCACUUGUGAAAUUACACUAGGUAUGUUACGUUGUUACUCUGUUUCACUUACAAAACACUUUUGCAAAAUAUCAUAUUUUUCUUUUUUUUCCCAUCAGUAGUCUUUGUGGAAAUUGGGUUAGACUUUGGUGGAAUAUUGAUGGAGUUCUAACAAGUCUUGUGGUAAUUUAUUGAGAAGUUUGUAAAACAGACUAAUCAAUUACUUGGAAUGAUCUUCACAAAAUUAUUCAAAACAUACUAACUAAUUAAGCAGGAAAACACAUAUCAAACAAAAUUUUAAAUAAAAUUCCACACGGUAUUGGAAAUUUGUCACAAAAUUCUGCAGAAAUAUUUUCUACCGUGAGUGUUACGUAACGAGACCAAUUAAUUCACAUCAUCUUGCAUAACACACGCUGCAGAGAUAUAUAGUCGAUGACCUUGAAAUGAAUAACAACAUCUAGAGAAAAUGAGGACAUAGGGAGUAUUAUUUUGUUAAGUCUUCUUCGUGCUCUGAAAAGUCUUGUGGAACACUAUAAAAUAAUGUGUAACACGUUGUUAGAAGUGACUAGUACUCAUUCAUGGACCACAAAUGACUGAAAAUUGACUUAACACUUGGGACAACUUUUUAGUAACCACAAAUUAUUACCCCAUUUUAUUUGUCUGGAUGUGUUUCUUUUCUUCGUUAAUUUAUAAUUGAUAGUCCCGUGCAUAAACAAGUCAACAACGCUGCUUUAUGAAUUACUGUUUAGUUAAUUGUUCACUUUAUUUAAUGUGGAGGUCGUUGUAAUAAUUAAGAAUUGGAAUAGUGUUUGGUUAAUUAUAGUGCAUCCUUUCUUAUGUGGCUACUUAUUUUAUUGACUUAUACAUGUCUUGACAAUUAUCAUGAACCCACAUCAUUAUUUUUACGUUUACCUUUUUUAUUCUUUCAUUAUUAAAUAUUCUAAAGUCUACCAAAUGGUAAAACCUUUUACAUUAUACAAAAUAUAUUGUUGGGUGUUAAUAAAAAGAUCAAUUUGUUUUUUGGUGUAUUCUUUAAAUUACAAGCACUACAACAAAAACAACUUUUAGCGGCAAUAAAUAUACACAUUAAUAAAGAGUGUUAAAGUUUUUACCAGCAUUGGUUAAGUAUCAUUAGAUUCAAUGUCGCUAAAAACUUUAGAGACAUACACAAAGAGGGUUAAUUGCCACUAAAAAUACAUUAUAUCAUUAUAUCAAAUUCAACACAACUAUUUCAAUAUCAUUAUAUAAACUUCUUAAAGUUUUGAGUAGGAUUUUAUUAUUCUAACUUUAUAUUAUAUCUUUUCAUUGAAAAUUUUCGUUGUUUGUAUUCUUACUUAAUAAAGGUUUGUGUACCUCCUACUUCCUUGAAACUCUACGCAGUAUGUUAUAAGUAUUUUAAUUUAUGUAUGACAACUAAAAAAAUAAUUAGAGGGCCUUGCCUGUAUGUUUUCAUAGAAUUUUGAUUAUUCUUACAAAUCUAUAAAAAAAUUACAAAGGACACUUAGAAAGUAGUAUAUAUAUGUGUGGAUAAUACUGAUUGAUUUGUAAGAACACAUCCAUCCUGUUAUUUGCUGAAAACAAACAAACAAAAAAUGGUGACUCUGUUUUUCUUUUAUUCAUUUCAGUGUUUUGUGUUGCUAAUAAGUGAAUGUUUUUCUUCAUCCUUUGAUCAUCGUCUUUGCUCUCCCACUGAAGCUUCUGCUUUGCUUCAGUUCAAACAAUCCUUUCAAAAUAUGUCCAGAGAGUCCUGUAAUUAUUCGUGUCAUGGAGAUUGUUUCCCAAUAACAAAGUCUUGGAAUGAGAGUAGGGAUUGCUGCACUUGGGAUGGAGUCACUUGUGACAUGUUAAACGGUCAUGUUAUCGCCCUGGACCUUAGUUGCAGUCAGCUUGUUGGCAAUUUUCAUCCCAACAGCAGCCUCUUCCAACUUCAUCAUCUCCAGACACUAAACCUUGCUUACAAUGACUUCAAUUGGUCUUCAAUCCCACAUAACAUUGGCCGAUUGACGAAUUUGAGGCAUCUCAACCUUUCAUGGUCUCACUUUAGUGGAAAAAUCCCAACAGAAAUCUCAUACCUUUACAAUUUGGUUUCACUUGAUCUUUCUGUGAUUGGAUUCCAACUUGAUGAGACAACAUUUGUAACAAUGCUUCACAACUUCACAAAUCUGGAGGUACUUUCUCUUUAUGGUGUCAACAUCUCAUCUCCGCUACCUGUGAACAUUUCUUCCUCCUUAAGGUACGUGGAUCUUGAAUAUACUAAUCUGCUAGGUGUUCUCACAGAGAGCUUUUUCCUUCUGCCAAACAGCUUGGAAACGCUCAAAUUGAGUGGGAAUGAUCUUCUCAAAGGAGUUUUUCCAAAGAUCCACCCGAGCAACACUCUGUUAAUGGAGUUGGAUAUUUCAUCCACAGGCAUCUCUGGUGAGCUGCCUCAUUCAAUUGGCACCUUCAGUUCCUUGAAUAUCUUGAACCUCGAACAAUGUCAAUUCUCUGGUUCCAUUCCUGAUUCCAUAGGCAACCUAACACAAAUUACGGAGUUGAUUUACUUGGGAAUCAGUAGUCAUAGGCUACACUUUUGGACUAGUUGUUGGAACUGUCAUGUGGAGUCUCAUGUUUAAAUAUCGUAAGCCAAAAUGGUUUGUGGAAUUUUUUGAUGGACUCAUGCCUCACAAAAGAAGAAGGCCAAAGAGAAGAGCUCAAAGACGACGGACUUAAUGGAAGAUUGAGAGGGCAACCUUGUCUUUGUUUGAUUUUGUGGACUAAUUACUGAACUUUUCUGGUUCUGUUUUUGUCUUUUUAAUUUUCUGUUUGUUGUUUGUAUAUGUUUGAAAGAAACAUAAUUAUAUGUGAGUCAUUUAAUUAGUAUCAAUGGUUAUUCAAGUUAUGUUAGUUUGUUUCUGUUUCAAGUUGAUAGAAGUGAUCUACACAGCCGCUCAUUAGCUAUGUUACUCAAACUCUUCAAAAUGUCAACGGGUACGUGUUGAAUUCUUCAAAAGUAGUACAAUUUUAAGGAACCAACAUUGGUGUCAUUAUAUUUUAGGAGAGUCGGAGCAACAUAACUCAUCAGCAUAACAAAACAGGAAAAAGCAAAGCAGUAAGCAAAUUGAUCAGUUUGGUUUAUGAUUGAAAUCACUUGAUAUUAGAAAGUUUAUAUUUUUGAAAAUUAAUGUAGAAGAGUAAUCAAAACUACAGAAUUGGCUAAUAAUUUUGUGGUUCUGCAUCUUUCUAAUCAUAAAUCAGCCAUAAAAUAUUCUCUAGCUCAGUUUCAACUUCCGCGAUUUUAAUUUUAGUAAGUUUUUACAUAUAUUUAUACUUCGUGGACGAAAGUUAUCUCUGGUUGUUCAACAACUAAUUCAUAUUGUUUGAUUAUCAAUGAAGGAAAGGUUUUUUUAAAGGGCAAAACGCUCUAUACGAGGAUUUUUUAUUAUUUUUCAAGUUUGAAUUCAAGACCUGUGAUUCAGUUUCAUCCGGAACUUUACUGUCUACAAAACUACAUGUCAAAGUUAUUUUUGAUGAACUAAAAUAGACUUAUUCCCAAAAUUUAAUUUAACGCAAAAAGAAAUAUAAUCAAAUUAUUUAAAAAUUAAGAAAGACAAAUUAAAACCUUUACAUAAUUUGACACAUGGCAAAAUAUAAUUGGCUAAAAUUUUGGUCCCACAAAUAGUCAACUCACCUGUCAAAAAAUGACAUUCCUAUUUUCUUUUCCUAAUUUUAGUUUGGACACUUUGAAAACAAUUAAAGUAUCUUUGUCUGGUUAUGGCCGUUCAAAGCUUUGAUUAUAACAAGAAAGAUGAUUGAAAAUAUCGGUUUUCUUCCUUUUAAUUGGUUUGUUUUAUUAUUUUUUUGAAAUUUAAUUUAUUUAUCGUACUUUAUACUUAAAUUUGUCUCAAAAAGAAUAAUACGUUUCACAUAUAUAUAUAUAUAUAUAUUUAAGACUAUAACAUUAAAAGAUAUUUUGAUAUGUUUUUUAUAUAACUUUAAUUUAAUAUUAUAUCAUUGAAAAUUCUUCUUUACUUAUAUAUUUUUUUUAUUUUGAAUUUUUAUAUUUCAAUAUUCCACGUGACACGUUAAAAAGUCACUUUAGUAGUAUAAGAUUCAAAAGAUUUUUUUUUCACUUUGUUAAACUUAUAUCAAGUCGAUAGAAACUAGACAAACAAAUUAAAACGAAGUCACACUUUUCAAUACAUAUUCCAACUUUCAUUGAGUCUGAAGAUAUACUUUCUGAUUUAUUUAUUUUCAAGAAUUUACCUGUUGGAAGAACCCCACCAGAAGAAAACUCCAAAAAACAGACUAAAAAUCCCAACUUUGAGUUUUUCUUUCAACAAUUAUAAGUUUCAGUGAAAAUCUCAAGAUGUAAUUUUUUUCAAGAAUUCAUCUUUUAGGAAAACCCCAUAAGAAGAAAACUCCAAAAACAGAUUCAAAAUCUCACCUUUUUUUUAGAUCUUUUCAACAUUUUUCAGUUUAUUAGCUUACAAAAAUCACUGAACAAGGAAGAAGGGAUUCAAGAAAAAGUGGAAUAAAAAUGUCAUUUGUUUUAGGGGUUGUGUUUGGAAUAGCAUUUGGACUUGCUAUAAUAGUUGCUUUUGUGAAAUCUGAAAAUGCUAGAUCCAAACAACGUACUGAUCUGGUUAGUCAACUAAAGUCUUUGUUUUUUUUGGAUCUUUAUUUUUUUCCAUUUCUGGGUUUUUUUUUUGUAUUUAUGUUGUUUUUUUGGUUGAAUUGUAAAGGCUAGUGGAAUUGCUGCAUUUGCUAGAAUGACAGUGGAAGAUUCAAGAAAAAUCUUUACACCAGAACAAUACCCUUCUUGGGUUGUUUUCUCAAAUCAACAAAAGGUGAAGUCGUUUAACUUUUCUUUAAGAUGUAUUUGGUAGGACGCAGAGGCGGAGUCAGAAUUUUUAGUUUAUAUGGGUUCUAGACCACUGUUCUUUUUGUUUUGUUGGGUUUCUGAAAGCUAUGUUGCUCGGACUCUCAGAAAAUGUUGUUUGUACCCAUUCUGGAUUCUCUAAAGUUGCACUAGUUUGGAGUAUACGACACUAACCAUCAACCGUAACCAUUUUUGAAGAGUCCGAACAACAUUGACUGAAAAGACUAUUUUUACAUCUUAUAACAUUAAUAUAGGGUUAAACCAAAGCUACUGGAUUUUGAUGUACUUGUAGCUAAAGCAAUGUCAUUUAUCAUAAAUCUGUAAACUGACUUAUUUUCUAGAAAAUGUUUUUCGUAAUGGAUUUUUUUUUCUGGGAAAAGACAUUUAAUCGGAUAGUGUUUGGUGAAAAUAUUUGAGUAGUAAAGAUUGAUAAUAAUGUUUAUAUGUUGAGAUAAUUGUUUGCUCCUUUUUGGUGGAAAAUGUUUUCGCAAAACAUAUGUUCUAGCAGCCAAAAUCAGAAAAAAGAGAUUACAAACACACCGUUGAUGUCCUUAUCUGUUUUUGGAGCACAUAGUGACCAUAUAAGAUCAUUGAGAUUAAAUUCAUGCAUUAUGGUUCAAAUUGUGGUCUUUGGUUGCAAGACUGUCCCUUUAUGGACUUUGUUUAAUUUCUAUCUAGAAUACAUCUUGUGAUUUAGUUUGUUGAGGGCAAAAAAUGACCUUUUGAAUUUUUCAAUUUUGUUCUUACAGUUGGCAUGGCCAGAUGUUGUGAUUUAGUCAACUAAAGUUUUUGUUUUUUCUUACUUCAAUUUUUUUGGAUUUUUAGUUUUUUCCAUUUUUGGGGUUUUCUGUAUUUAUGUUGUUUUUUUGGUUGAAUUGUUAAGGCUAGUGGAAUUGCUGCAUUUGCUAGAAGGACAGUGGAAGAUUCAAGAAAAAUCUUCACACCAGAACAAAUACCCUUCUUGGGUUGUUUUCUCAAAUCAGCAAAAGAUGAAGUCUUUAACUUUUCUUUAGGAUGUAUUUGGUAGGACGUAGUGGCUGAGUCAGAAUUUUUAGUUUAUAUGGGUUCUAGACCAUUGGUUCUUUUUUGCUUUGUUGGGUUUCUGAAAAUUAUGUUGUUCGGACUCUCAAAAAAUGUUGUUUGUACCCGUGUCGGAUUCUCUAAAGUUGCACUAGUUUGGAGUAUACGCCAGUAACCCAUCACCCAUCACCAUUUUUGAAGAGUCCGAGCAACAUUGACUGAAAAGACUAUUUAUACAUCUUAACAUUAAUAUAGGGUUAAACCAAAGCUACUGGAUUUUGCCGUACUUGUAGCUAAAGCAAUGUCAUUUAUCAUAAAUCUGUAAAAUGACUUAUUUUCUGGAAAAUGUUUUUCGUGAUGGAUUUUUUUCUGGGAAAAGACAUUUAUUGUAGAUUGAAUCAGCAAAUUGGAUAGUGUUUUGGUGAAAAAUAUGUGAGUAGUAAAGAUUGAUAAUAAUGUCUAUAUGUUGAGAUAAUUGUUGUUCCUUUUUGAUGGAAAAUAAGAUUUUACCAAACACACUGUUGAUGUCCUUUACUGUUUUUGAGCACAUAGUGACCAUAUAAGAUCAUUGAGAUUAAAUUAGUGCAUUAUGGUUCAAAUUGUGGUCUUUGGUUGCAAGACUGUCCCUUUAUGGACUUUGUUUAAUUUCUAUCUAGAAUACAUCUUGUGAUUUAGUUUGUUGAGGGCAAAAAAUGACCUUUUGAAUUUUUCAAUUUUGUUCUUACAGUUGGCAUGGCUUAAUUCUCAUCUUGAAUAGAUCUGGCCAUAUGUGGAUGAGGUUAGGGGUUCAAUGUCUAUACAUAGUUUAGUUUUCCACUCUAUUGCGAUUCUGCAAUUUUUCAUUUCCCCCUUUUUUUGGUUCUAAUUUAUGAUUGUUUGAACUUCUUUGUUGCUAAUUGAGUCGGUAUGGGUAUAUAUGGUAAUUCAGGCAGCAUCAGAACUAGUAAAGUCAAGUGUGGAGCCAGUUUUGGAACAAUAUAGGCCUGUGAUUUUGGCGUCGUUAAAAUUUUCAAAGUUCACUCUUGAUACAGUUGCUCCACAAUUCACAGGUUAGUAGAUUAUGGCUGGUGUAACCUGCCUCAAAGCUCUUGUAUAUUGUACUACCUAAAAGUUUUAGGAGUCACUUAUACAUAUGAACAAACUUAUCAGUCCUCUAGGUCUUUAUGGCAUGCUUAUGUCUGGAGUAGCGUAACAUUUCCCUGCACGGACACCACCACCAUCAAAAAAAAAAAACGGCAUAACAUUUUCUUGCCAUUUAUAGCCUCUUGAGAUGUCAAAAUGUGACAAAUAAUUUGAGACAGGCAAGGGUAUAAAAGAUAUUCAAACCUCAAAGAGCAAUCCUAUCAUCUCGUGUCAGUUAAUCCUUAAUAAAAGAAACUGCUUGUGAGGAUGAAUCUCACUACAUUUAACAAAUGCUUGAUCUCAUGUAUAUGCCACUGCAGGGAUUUCUAUUAUUGAAGAUGGAAGUGAGGGUAUUACUAUGGAAUUAGAGAUGCAAUGGGAUGGUACCAUACCAUCUUGGGUGUUUAGCCUACCUUUGCUAUCUUCAGUGUCGCUCCAACAUAACCGAUUCAGAGGUCUAGCUGAUGAAGUGAUCAAAACCGCUCCAACAUAACCGAUUCGGAGGACUAGCCGAUGAAGUGAUCAAAACAAACCCAACAUUAAAACAACUGCAUUUAAGCAAUAAUCAACUCAGUGGUUCUUUUCCUCAAUCACUUGUGAAUCUCACAAACCUUAAAACCCUUGGACUUUCAUCAAAUAACAUCACCAUUGAUGAGGGAAUGAAUAUCACCUUUCUUAGCCCAUCAUCUUUAUUCUUAUCAUCUUGUCAACUGAAGGAUUUUCCACACUUCUUGAGAAAUGUAAAGACACUUGUGUACUUGGAUAUUUCUAACAAUAUGAUUCGUGGUCAAAUUUCUGACUGGUUUAGCGGCAUGAGGUGGGACAACUUGUGGUACCUAAAUAUUUCACAUAAUCUUUUGACAGGUUACCUACCACAAUUGCAUUUCCAUAAUCUAGGGUAUCUUGAUCUGAAAUUUAACUCCCUUCUGGGUCCACUACCCUCAUCCAUUUGUAACAUGAGUUCGCUUAUCUUAUUAGAUUUAUCACGCAACAACUUCAGUAACUACAGUUUCGUAUGAGGAUUCAUUGAGUUUGGUAAUCAAAGGGCAGGAUAUUGAGCUACAAAGAAUCAACACAAUUAUGACAACCAUAGAUCUCUCAAGCAAUCAUUUUGAAGGUGUGAUUCCGAAAACACUAAAGGAUCUCAGCUCACUUUGGCUACUCAAUUUAUCCCAUAACAAUCUCAUAGGUCAUAUUCCAAUGGAACUAGGGCAAUUGAAUACGCUUGAAGCUUUAGAUCUCUCUUGGAAUUGGCUCACUGGAAAUAUUCUGCAGGAACUGACAAGAAUGAACUUUCUGGCCUUCUUAAACGUCUCUCAAAAUCAUCUUGUCGGACCAAUUCCUCACGGUCUACAGUUCAACACAUUCGAAAAUUAUUCGUAUGGCGGAAACCUUGAUUUAUGUGGUCUUCCUUUAUCAAAGCAAUGUGGAACGAGUGAUUCAUCACAUGUUCCUCAACCAUUGGAGUCCGCAGAAGAAGGCGAGUCAUAUUUUUUUAGUGGAUUUUCUUGGGAAUUAGUAGUAAUAGGCUACAGUUUUGGACUUGUCGUUGGAACUGUCAUGUGGAGCCUCAUGUUUAAAUAUCGUAAGUCAAAGUGGUUUGUGGAAUUUUUUGAUGGACUCAUGCCUCACAAAAGAAGAAGGCCAAAGAAGAGAGCUCAGAGACGAAGGACUUAAUGGAAGCUUGAGAGGGCUAAAUUGUCUUUGUUUGAUUUUGUGGACUAGUGAACUGUUCUGUUUUUGUCUUUUUUUAAUUUUCUAUUUGUUGUUUGUAUAUGUUAGAAACAUAAUUAUAUGUGUGUUAUUGUAGUAUUCAAUUUAUGUUAGUUUGUUUCUGUUUCAAAUUGACAGAAGUGAUCUACACAGCAACUCUAGCUAUGUUACUUAGAUUUUUCAAAAAUGUCAACGGGUACGUGUUGGAUUCUUCAAAAGUUGUGUAUUUAUUAAGGAACCAACAUGAGCAGUGGCGGAUCCAGGAUUUUCAUUAAGGGGUUCGAAAAAAAGAGAGCAGUGCUUAAGAUUUGAGGUUUGAACCCCUCAACCACUAAACUAACCUCUAAUCUUAUAUUCAGGAGGUUCAAAAUCAAUAUAUAAACAUAAAAAUUCUUUAAAAUACCUUAAAUAUACAACAUAAUUUUUUGCCGAGGGAGUUGGUCCACCCCUGAACAUGGGUGCGACAUCAUCAUAUUUUAGGAGAGUCCGAGCAACAUAGCUCAUUAAUACAACAAAAUUGGAUAAAGCAGUGCAGUAAGCAUAUAGAGUUUGGUUCAUGAUUGAAAUUAGUUGAUAUUAGAAAGUUUAUAUUUGUGAAAAUUGAUGUAGAAGAAUGCUCAAAACUACAGAAGUGGCUAAUAAUUUUGUGGUACUUCAUCUUUCUAGUCAUAAAACAUCCUUAAAAUGUUCUCUAACUCAGUUUCAACUUCUGCAAUUUUUAUUUUGGUAGAUUUUUACAUAUAUUUAUACUUCAUGACGAGUGUUAUGUCUCACGUGAUCCAACAACUAAUUCAUACUGCUUGAUUAUGAAUGAGGAAAUUUUUUUGUUUUUGGGAAAAAUGCUCUCUGGAAUCGGCUCACUGGAAAGAUUCCAAGGGAACUGACAAGACUAAAAUUCCUGGCAGUCUAAAAACUCUGUCUGAAUGUUCUUUUUAGACCGAUUGCAUGCUCCUCGUCCAUUGGAGUCCGAAGAAGAAGAAGAAGAAGAGAGUCGUAUUUUGCUAGUUGUGGAUUAAUUGUUGUAACUGUCAUGUGGCACCUCAUGUUUAAAGAUGGUAAGCUGAACAUGUGAUCCUUCAAUACAAUUAGUCUCUCAGUUUUUUUUGCUUGAGUAUCAUUUUUUUUAUCUUCUUAAUUUGAUCACUAUACCUUUAUCUUGAGUCGAGGGUCUACAGAAACAACAUCUCCACUACUUUGGUUAUUUUCCAUCUCUUCAUAUUUGAACUGUAUCAUAUAGAUGGAAUUUCCCUCAUUAACUUAAUGUUAAAAAUCUUUUGGAAAACAGCACAAGAGACAACUAAUCGGAAAUUUCUCUACAGGUGGAAGGAUCUUCACCAAGUUAUUCAGAACAUACUAAUUAAGCAGGAAAACACAGAUCAAACAAAAUUUUGUAUAAAAUUCCACAAGGAGGAAAUGAAGGACUUAAAUCAUGUCUUUAAUUAUUGUUCAUUUUUUUCCUCACUUGACUUAGUCAAGCAAUAGUUUCUACCAUUUGAAAUUUCUAAGAAGUUCUGCAGAAAUUUUUUCUACAUAAUGGGACCAAUUUCACAUUAUCUUGCGUAACACACUGCAGAGAUAGUUAAUGACUUUGAAAUGAACACAACAUCAAGAGAAAAAUAGGACAUAGAGAGUAUUAUUUUGUUAAGUCUUCUCCGUCCUCUAAAAAGUCUUGUGGAACACUACAAAAUAUGAGUAUCAAGUUGUUAGAAGUGAGUAGUACUCAUCUUGUAAUUCAAUUGUUCAUCAGUCCCGAUUCAUCAUAAUCUUUUUUUUUCCUCUAGUCUUUGUGGAAAUUGGCUUAAAGUCUUACAAGUCAUCGUCCGCUAGUUACAAUACUGUAUCACUUUUUUCCUUAGUUGGAAUGGAAUAUUGAUGGAUUUUCCCUUAUUUACUUAAUGUGAAAAUUAUUGUGUACCUAACAAGUUUGAAAAUAGCAGAAGAGACAACUAAUCACUCACUCGGAUUGACCUUUUCUGAUUGUAUAGAUUUCAUGGAAAAAUUGCACCAAAAUUUAUUUAAUCCUCAAUUGACUUGGUCAUGCAACAGUUUCUCUUUGAAAAGUAUUGUGGAAAACAGAAGAGAUGUUGAUGGAAAGUUGGACAAGGUUGACAUAAAACAGGAGUUCAAAUAACUAUAAAAUAUGUAUGGAUUUUGAAAAAACAGAACAUUCUGUAAUAUGCUGUAAACAAAAAGUAAUUCCCGUGACCAGUUCAGUUCAAGGUUGGUCACGGGAGGGUUGAAUAAAAAUCACUUGAAAGUUGUUAAGGGGGUAUUUAAAUGUUCAUGUAGUUUAAGUCCUAAAGUAAAUUUGGCUAUCAAGUUUGAGGGUGAUUUUAGGAUUUUUCUCAAAAGUUAGCAGUCAAAUUGAAAAAAGUGUUCAAAUUGGGAAAAUAUGUAAAAAUUGUUAUUUUCCAUCUCUUCCUAUUUGAACUGUAUCAUAUAGAUGGAAUUUCCCUCAUUAACUUAAUGUGAAAAGUCUUCAGCACAAGAGACAACUAAUCGGAAAUUUCUCAUAAAAUUUCUCUGCAGGUGGAAUGAUCUUCACCAAGUUAUUCAAAACAUACUAAGCAAGCAGGAAAUGAAGGACUUAAAUCAUGUCUUUAAUUAUUGUUCAGUUUUUUCCUCACUUGACUUAGUCAAGCAAUAGUUUCUACCAUUUGAAAUUUCUAAGAAGUUCUGCAGAAAUUUUUUCUACAUAAUAGGACCAAUUUCACAUCAUCUUGUGUAACACACACUAUAGAGAUAGUUAAUGACUUCGAAAUGAACACAACAUCUAGAGAAAAUGAGGACAUAUGGAGUAUUAUUUUGUUAAGUCUUCUCCGUCCUCUAACAAGUCUUGUGGAACACUACAAAAUAUGAGUAACAAGUUGUUAGAAGUGACUAGUACUCAUUUUUGAUUCAAUUGUUCAUCAGUCCCGAUUCAUCAUAAUCUUUUCCCCCCCUCUAGUCUUUGAGGAAAUUAUCUUAAAGGCUUACAAGUCAUCGUCUGCUAGUUACAGUACCGUAUCCCUUUUUUCCUUAGGUGGAAUGGAAUAUUGAUGGAUUGUCCCUUAUUAACUUAAUGUGAAAAUUAUUGUGUACCUAACAAGUUUGAAAAUAGCAGAAGAGACAACUAAUCACUGACUCGGAAUAUUGACCUUUUAUGAUUGUAUAAAUUCCAUGGAAAAAUUGCAUAAAAAAUUAUUGCAUUCUUUGUGGAAAUUGUCUUAUUAAAGACUUUGGCUUCAAAGAACAAAAUAAAAUUCCACACGGUAUUAUUGUUUUGUUGUUACAUACUCUUAAGUUGAUGUCUUUAAUUAUUCUUCAUUUUUUUUCCUCACUUCAUGACUUAGUCAAGCAAUAGUUUCUCUCAUUGGAAAUUUUUCACAACUUAUGCAGAAAUAUUUUCUACUGUGAGUGUUACGUAACUUGACCAAUUUCACAUCAUCUUGCGUAACACACACCGUAGAGAUAGUCGAUCGAUGAUCUCGAAAUGAACAACAACAUCUAGGGAAAAUGAUGUGUACCAAGUCGUUAGAAGUGACUAGUACUCAUUCAUGGACCAUAUGUGACUGAAAAUUGACUUUACACUUGGGACAACAUUUUUUGCAACCACAAAUUAUUACCCCAUUUAUUUAAUUAUCUAUGUGUUUCUUUUCUUUCGUUAAUUUAUACCUCAAUAGUCCCAUGCAUAGACAAGUCAACAACGUUACUUUAUGAAAUAUUGUUUAGUUAAUUGUUUACUUUAUUUAAUGUGGAGGUUGUUGUAAUAAUUAAGAAAUGGAAUAGUGUUUAGUUACUUAUAGCAUCCUUUCCUACAUGGCUACUUAUUUUAUUGACUUAUUUAUAUCUUGGCAAUUAUCAUGAAUUUUGAUAAUGCAUGUUUUCAUUGAACACGGGUGCAACUUAGAAAGUAGUAUAUAUAUGUGUGGAUAAUACUGAUUGAUUUGUAAGAAGAACACAUCCAUCCUGUUAUUUGCUGAAAACAAACAAACAAAAAAUGGUCAUGAGUCUGUUUUUCUUUCAUUCAUUUCUGUAUUUUGUGUUGCUAAUAAGUAUGUUUUUCUUCUUCCUUUGAUCAUCAUCUUUGCUCUCCCACCGAAGCUUCUGCUUUGCUUCAGUUUAAGCAAUCUUUUGGAGUUGAUUACAACUACUCCAAAUGUUUUACUUCUUUCCCAAAAAGAAAGUCUUGGAAUGAGAGUAGGGAUUGCUGCAGUUGGGAUGGAGUCACUUGUGACUUAUUAAACGGUCAUGUUAUCGGGUUAGACCUUAGUUGUAGUCUGCUUAGUGGAAGUAUUCAUCCCAAUAGCACCCUCUUCCAACUUCAUCAUCUCCAGGCACUAAACCUUGCUUACAAUCACUUCAGCUAUUCUUCAAUCCCACAUAACAUUGGCCGAUUGACAAAUUUGGUUUCGCUUGAUCUUUCUUCUGAUUUUUAUGGACUACAACUUGAUGAGAGAACAUUUGAAACAAUGCUUCAAAACUUGACAAAUCUGGAAGUACUAUCUCUCUUUCUUGUCAACAUCUCAUCUCCGAUGCCUGUGAAUAUUUCUUCCUCUUUAAGGUACCUGGAUCUUCGUUAUACUAAUCUGCGAGGUGUUCUAACAGAGAGCUUUUUCCUUCUGCCAAACAGCUUGGAAACGCUCAAACUGAGUGGGAAUGAUCUUCUCAAAGGAGUUUUUCCAAAGAUCCACCGGAGCAACACUCUGUUAAUGGAGUUGGAUAUUUCAUACACAGGCAUCUCUGGUGAGCUGCCUCAUUCAAUUGGCACCUUUAGUUCAUUGAAAUACUUAAACCUCCAAGGAUGCCAAUUCUCUGGUUCCAUUCCUAAUUCCAUUGACAACCUAACCCAAAUUACGGAGUUGAUUUUAUCUUAUAAUCAUUUCACUGGACAUAUUCCUUCCACAAUCUCUAAAUUGAAGUACCUCACAAAUUUACAUCUUUCUGACAACUCCUUUUCAGGUGAAAUUCCUGAUGUUUUUUCUAAUCUCAAAGAGCUACGUUAUUUAGAUCUUUUUAAUAACAGCUUCAUCGGUCCAUUUCCUGCUUCAAUUUUAAGUUUGACACAUCUUGAAUACUUAGGAUUGUCGAGUAAUUCCCUAUCUGGCCCACUGCCUAGCAAAGCAAGCAUGCUUCAAAAGCUAUCCGAACUGCAUUUGUCUUACAACUCGCUGAAUGGUACCAUACCAUCUUGGGUGUUUAACCUCCCUUUGCUAUCUUCGUCGUGGCUCAAUCAUAAUCAAUUUAGUGGACUAGCCGAUGAGAUCAAAACAAACCCAACAUUAGAAUUCCUGUAUUUAAAUAAUAAUCAACUCAGCGGUUCUUUUCCUCAAUCACUUGUGAAUCUCACAAACCUUUCUACCCUUGACCUUUCAUCAAAUAACAUCACUAUUGAUGAGGGAAUGAAUAUCACCUUUCCUAGCCUUGAAAUUUUGCAGUUAUCAUCUUGUGAACUGAAGGAUUUUCCACACUUGUUGAGAAAUGUAAAGACACUUCAGGUCUUGGAUAUUUCUAACAAUAAGAUUUGUGGUCAAAUCCCUAACUGGUUUAGCGGCAUGAGGAUGGGACUCGUUGCAGCUAUUAAACCUUUCUCAUAAUUCAUUAACAGGCCACCUACCACAAUUUCAUUUCCAUAAUCUAGUGUCUCUUGAUCUGAAAUUUAACUCCCUUCAGGGUCCACUACCUUCAUCCAUUUGUAACAUGAGCAGACUUUUCUUAUUAGAUUUAUCACAUAACUACUUCAGUGACUCAGUUGCACAUUGCUUGGGAAGCAUGGCUAGUCUAACCGUGCUAGACUUGAGAAGGAACAAUUUCAUAGGGAAUCUUCCCCCAUUAUGUGCACAGGGCACUUCAUUGAGUACCAUUGUCGUAAAUGGUAAUCGAUUUGAAGGACCUGUACCUGUGUCGUUGCUCAAGUGUAAUGUUCUAGAAGUCCUUGAUGUGAGGAACAAUGCUAUAAAUGACACAUUUCCAGCUUGGCUCGGAACUCUUCAAGAGCUGCAGGUCCUUAUAUUAACGUCGAACAAGUUCCAUGGACCUAUAAGUACUUGUCAGACUAAGCUUUGCUUUCCCAACUUGCAAAUUUUUUAUCUUUCUCGUAAUGAUUUCAGUGGCUCACUUCCUGCAAAAGUUUUUGGAAACUUCAAGGCAAUGAUCAAAUUAGAUGACGAAGACACAAGAGAGAUCAAGUACAUGGAAUCUAAGUCAAAUUUGUCAUUUGACACAUCUUAUGAGGAUUCAGUGAGUUUGGUAAUCAAAGGGCACGAUAUUGAGCUACAAAGAAUCAGCACAAUUACGACAACCAUAGAUCUCUCAAGCAACCAUUUUGAAGGUGUCAUUCCGGAAACACUAAAGGAUCUCAGCGCACUUUGGCUACUCAAUUUAUCCCACAACAAUCUCAUAGGUCAUAUUCCAAUGGAAUUGGGGCAAUUGAAUACACUUGAAGCUUUAGAUCUCUCCUGGAAUCGGCUCACUGGAAAGAUUCCGCAGGAAUUGACAAGAAUAAACUUUCUAGCAGUCUUAAACCUCUCCCAAAAUCAUCUCGUCGGACCAAUUCCUCAAGGUCCACAAUUCAACACAUUUGGAUAUGACUCAUAUGGUGGCAACCUUGAUUUAUGUGGUCUUCCUUUAUCAAAGCAAUGUGAAACAAGUGAUUCAUCACAUGUUCCUCAACAAGAAGAUGAAGGCGAGUCAUAUUUUUUUAGUGGAUUUACGUGGGAAUCAGUAGUCAUAGGCUACAGUUGUGGUCUAGUUGUUGGAACUUUUCAUGUGGAGUCUCAUGUUUAAAUAUCGUAAGCCAAAAUGGUUUGUGGAAUUUUUUGAUGGACUCAUGCCUCACAAAAGAAGAAGGCCAAAGAAGAGAGCUCAGAGAUGACGGACUUAAUGGAAGAUUGAGAGGGUAACCUUGUCUUUGUUUGAUUUUGUGGACUAAUUAGUGAACUUUUCUGGUUCUGUUUUUGUCUUUUCAAUUUUCUAUUUGUUGUUUGUAUAUGUUUGAUAGAAACAUAAUUAUAUGUGUGUUAUUCAAGUUAUGUUAGUUUGUUUCUGUUUCAAGUUGAUAGAAGUGAUUUACACAGCCACUCAUUAGUUAUGUUACUCAGACUCUUCAAAAAUGUCAACGACUACAUAUUGAAUUCUUCAAAAGUAGAGCAUUUUUUAUGAAACCAACACAAAUGCAACACCAUUUUAUUUUUAGGAGAGUCGGAGCAACAUAGCUCAUCAGCAUAACAAAAACAGGAAAUUGCACAAGCAAAUAGAUCAGUUUGGUUUAUGAUUGAAAUCACUUGAUAUUAGAAAGUUUAUAUUUUUGAAAAUUUAAGUAGAAGAGUACUCAAAACUACAUAAUUUGCUAAUAAUUUUGUGGUUCUGCAUCUUUAGAAUCAUAAAUCACUUAAAAUGUUCUCUAACUCAAUAUCAACUUCCGCAAAUUUAAUUUUAGUAAGUUUUUACAUAUAUUUAUACUUCGUGUACGAAAAAUAAUGUCUCUGGUUGUUCAACAACUAAUUCAUAUUGUUUGAUUAUCAAUGCGGAAAAGGUUUUUUUAAAAGGGCAAAAUGUUCUAUACAAGGAUUUUAGAAGUGACUAGUACUCAUUCAUGGACUACAAGUGACUUUGAGUCUUCCUGGAAAUUGACUUAACACUUAGGACAACCACAAAUUAUUUGUUUGGAUGUGUUUCUUUUCUUUCGCUAAUUUAUACCUCAAUAGUCCCAUGCAUAGACAAGUCAACAACGCUACUUUAUGAAAUACUGUUUGGUUAAUUGUUCACUAUAUUUUAAUGUGGAGGUCGUUGUAAUAAUUAAGAAAUGGAAUAGUGUUUGGUUAAUUAUAGCAUCCUUUCUUCCGUGACUACUUAUUUUAUUGACUUAUUUAUAUGUUGACAAUUAUCAUGAACCCAUAUUAUAUUAUUACUAGGUAAAUUACCCGUGCUUCGCACGGAAUUGAACUAUUUUAUUAAGCUUACAUAUGAUCAUUCGAUAAUAUUCAUAUUUUCGAUACAUACACUACAUUGUCAAGAUCAUUUUAUCUUAAGGCAAAACGUUCCUCCAAAAUCUUAAAGUGCUAUAUUUUUUUAAUUUUCAUUUUUGUUAUACAAAUAUUAUGAGUCAUAGAUAGAUUUUAAGUAUAAGAAAGAAGUCUAAGAAAAUCUCCUUGGAAAUAGUUGGUCAGAAGUAAUGGAAUAUUUUUAAUUCCAAGAAGUUAUAAAGAACAACAUCAGACGUUAAUAAAGAGACCAAAAAAGGUCGAACAACAACACUUCCAAGUAAAGUGGAGUAUCACGUCCAUACAAGAUCAUAAUUAACUAAAUUCAAAUGGACGACCAUGGACUCCUUUCUUAUGAACCUCCAUCAAUCUCUUUUUUAUUAUUGUAUGCCAUAUCAAGUAUAUGCUAAAAAUGACCCUAAAAUUGUUAUUAUCAUAAAUGUUUUUUUGUCAUUGUCUCAAAAUAGUCAUUACUAUUUUAAAGGUUUCAUAUCACCGGCCCCAACUUAUUUGGAUUAAACCAUAGUUAUUGUUAUGGUUAUAGUAUGCAGUUACAAAAAAAUUAAUGCAAUUAUCAGCCAAGCAAUAGGUGACAUCUGAAUGUUCACAACGGGAUAUUCUAAACAAAAAAUUUGACACAUAACAUAUUAAAAUCUCACAACAUAAUUUUGUGAGCACUUGAACUCACAAAUAUCCUAAAAUAAUAAUAAAGACAAUCUUACUUUCCUAACAAUCAAGAAGAAAAAGGCUCGUUGCUUAAUAUAUUUUUCAAAAAGAUAGUCUUUCGGGUUGUAUCCAAGUUCACAGUUCACAAAUUUAGUUGAAAGAAGCCAAAAGAAAGAGUUAUUACUUCUUUAUCAAAAAAAUUUAAAACUUUAUCAAAAGAAUGAGUUAUCACUACAACAAAAAUGAUCUUUAACGAUAAUUAAUAGCUUAAUUAUCGCUAAAUAUGUAUUUUCAGAGGCAAUUGGUACUCUGUAUAAAUGUUCCUAAAGUCUAUAGCAACAUUGAAUCCAAUGACAGUUAAUUCAUGUCGGUAAAGGCUGUAGCACUCUUCGUGAACGUGCAUAUUUAUUGCCGAUAAAAAAUAUUUUUGUUGUAGUGUAUUUUGGACAUUUGUUAGUUUUAAGAAAACUUGAUCUCUUAUUAUGCCCAAAAAGAAGAGAAGAGGAAAUAUGACAAAUUAGUUAACUUGCGAUAAAUGAUGUGGACUAAUUGUCUCUAUACAAAUUUUCUAGGAAUAGUGCAAUGGCAUACAAAAUGUUUGUACCUAAGAAAAAACAAUCAAAAUAAUAUACUAACUGUGGCAAACAAGAGAGAAAUCAUUUUGGUUCUUUUAACAAACUUCAUCAUUGGUUCCGUACUAGUUAUCAGAUUUUUGUUGUUGUGUGCUAUCAAAUAUAGCACAACCCACAAGCAAUUUUCCCAAAAAGUAUAUGAAGAAAAACUGUAGAAAGGGACAAAAGAGAAGAUAAACUUUCAAUCAUCCUCAUUGAAAUUUUGAACAUAAUUAAAAAAAAAGUCACCAAAAUAGCAAAAAGAAAUUGCAAUAGAUACAUGAAUCACUAUGAUUUAUAGUAAAAAAUUAAGCUUCAUGAAAUAGGAGGAAAAAAACUUUGAGAAAUGAAAUGCACUUUAUAAGAAACUUAAUUAAUGUAUUUGAUUUCGAAAAAAAAUACAAAUAAUAGUGGUAGAAAUAAAAGAUUUGUUUACUAAAGAACCAAAUGUAAUGAAUUCAGUCAUCAACCAUUUCAGCAGUGUUAUGAGUUGUGCACUGAGAGAUCCAAGAGCAGUAAUGUCGCAUUGCAAUUGAAAUCAAUUUUCUUUGUUUAUAUGAAGAAACCUGUAGAAAGUGACAAAAGAGAGGAUCAAUUUUCAAUCAUCCCUGCUGAAACUUUAACAGAGUUAAAAAAAAGGUCACCAAAAUAGGAAAAUGAAAUUGCCAUAGUUACAUGAAUCACCAUGACUUACAAUAAAGAUUAAGAUCCAUGAAAACUUUUAGGAAUGAAAAAAAUUCCUAAAAACUUAAUUAAUGUAUUUGAAUUUGACUACCCUAUAGAGGGAAAAAAACCUACAAAUUAUAGUGGCAGGAAAUUCCUCUAUUUAUAGACAACAUAGAGUAGUGUGAACAAAUUUUUAUUGUGCCUUAUCCGAGAUGUCACAACUCUUUGGAAAAGUUACAACCCUUCAGAAAGGUCACAACCUUUCAUAAAAGUCAUAAUUUUUCAUAAAAGUUGCAACUCUUCAUAAAAGUCACAACUUUUCAUAAAAGUCACAGCUUUUAAUGAAAAGGGAAGGCUAGUUUUGGAAAUAAAUAAAAUUUAAAAGGGAAUCCUAGUUUAUGGUGGCGCCACGUAGGCGGGCCUAGGGUUCUCUUUUAUAUAAAUUUUUGAUUUUUGAUAUAUGAUUUUUACGUUUACCUUUUUUAUUCUUCUUUCUAUUUUUAUUCUUUCAUUAUUAAAUAUUCUAAAGUCUAACCUUUUGCAUUAUACAAAAUAUAUUGUUGGGUGUUAAUAAAAAUAUCAAAUUUAUUUUUUGGUGUAUUCUUUAAAUUACAAGCACUACAACAAACACUACAAUAAAAACAACUUGUUGCGGUUUCUGAACCUUUCAUAUAAUUCAUUAACAGGCCACCUACCACAAUUUUAUUUCCAUAAUCUAGGGUAUCUUGAUCUUAAAUUUAACUCCCUUCAGGGGCCACUAUCUUCAUCCAUUUGAAACAUGAGCAUACUUAGACUUGGGGAAAUUGAAUGUGCUUGAAGCAAUGAUUAAAUUAGAUGACGGAGACAAAGGUGAGAUCAAAUAUAUGGAACAAUUGAGUGAAUAUUCAAUGUAUGAAGAUUCAGUGAGUUUGGUGAUCAAAGGCCAUGAUACUGAGCUAGAAAAAAUCAACACAAUUAUGACAACCAUAGAUCUCUCAAGCAACCAUUUUGAAGGUGUCAUUCCAAAAAUACUAAAGGAUCUUGGCUCACUUCGGUUACUCAAUUUAUCACGUAACAAUCUCAAAGGUGAUAUUCCAAUGGAACUGGGGCAAUUGAAUGUGCUUGAAGCAAUGGAUCUGUCCUGGAAUCGGCUCACUGGAAAUAUUCCUACUGAAUUGACAAGACUAAAAUUUCUAGCAGUCUUAAACCUCUCUCAGAAUGUUCUUGUCGGUCCAAUUCCUCAAGGUCUACAAUUCAACACAUUUGGAAAUGACUCGUAUGGUGGCAACCUUGAUUUAUGUGGUCUUCCUUUAUCAAAGAAAUGUGGAACGAGUGGUUCAUCACAUGUUCCUCAACCAUCGGAGUCGUAUUUCUUUAGUGGAUUUACGUGGGAAUCAAGGCUACAGUUGUGGACUAGUUGUUGGAACUGUCAUGUGGAGCCUCAUGUUUAAAUAUCGUAAUCCAAAAUGGUUUGUGGAAUUUUUUGAUAGACUCAUGCCUCACAAAAGAAGAAGGCCAAAGAAGAGAGCUCAGAGACGACGGAUUUAAUGGAAGAUUGAGAGGGCCAACUUGUCUUUGUUUGAUUUUGUGGACUAGUUAGUGAACUUUUCUGGUUCUGUUUUUGUCUUUCUGUUUGUUGUUUUGUAUAUGUUUGAAAGAAACAUAAUUAUUAUAUGUGUGGUAUUUUAGUAUCAAUGGUUAUUCAAGUUAAGUCUAUUUCUGUUUCAAGUUGACAGAAGUGAUCUACACAGCCACUCAUUAGCUAUGUUACUUAGACUCUUCAAAAAUGUCAAUGGGUACGUGUUGGAUUCUUCAAAAGUAAUGCAAUUUUUAAGGAAUCAACAUGGGUGUCAUUAUAUUUUAGGAUAGUCGAAGCAACAUAACUCAUCUUUCUUAACAUUUUCUGUUUCUGUAUUUAUUUCUUUUAAAGAUCAUUGCUUUGAUCUUAAUGGCUUUCAACCCAUAUUAGGAACACUUGAAAUGGCUGAACUCAUACACACAGAGGAUAGAAACUAUUCAGCUGUUGACUGAAGUGAUCCACUUAUUAGUACAACAAAACAGGAAAAGGCUACAUCCACCUCUGGGGCUCAUGUUGUUCUGUUUCUUCAAAUGCAAAACACUCUCUAUCAGGAUUUUCUUUAUUUUCAAGGUUCGAAUCCGAAACCCUUGGUUCAAUUUUACCUGGAACCAUGCAUUUAGCAUAACUAUAUGUCCUAUUGCAUUAUAGUUAUUAUACAAAGUGGAAAAGUUCAAGGGAUAAUAACACCAUCUCAAAAGUCGGGUGUGUAACUGAAAAUCUAAAUCAACUUUAGGGGUAUACUUAGGGCUGUUCAAAACUGAACCAUAACCGAUAAGUCAAUCGCAAAAUUGACUUAUUGGUAUUGGAUUAUCGGAUUAACGGUUGGUCAACGGAUUAAAAUUUUAUAGUUAAUGGUGCGGGGCGGAUUACUCAAUGGUGCGGGCCGGAUCACUCAAUUUCCUUCUAGGGUAAACCAUUAACCUUUUAAAAAUUAUCGUAGUUAGGAUAUUUAUUAAGUAAAUACUAAUGCGCUUGCACCCUCAAAAUUUAGUUCACAUGUGUUGUCACGCCCUGAGCCUACACCCUGGACGUGGCGGGCACUCGAAGACCAUUGCUGGUCCCAAGCGAACUGUUGGCCUAGUUUACUUGACUCAGCGGAAGACUUAAACUAAACAAAGAUAAGUUCAUAUAAUAAAUUGGAAUGUUAUAAAGGAACAUUCAACUGGACAUUAAGGCAAACUCAAGUCUGAACAUGGAGUAAUGACAAUGAAAAAACUAAAAACUAACAUCUGACUGUCUAUGAAGCCUCUAAUAACAACUGAGAUGGAUGUUGGGAUAGACCCCACAACAUCCUAAUAAACUAAACUGGAAAGCAAUGAAAUGGAUCCUCCGGAAAGCAAGGAGGCUCACCAACAGACUCUGGACUGCUCACUGGAUCAACGAUGCGUCAGGAUGCCGAUCCUAGUUACCUGUGUUUGCAUCAUAAUACGAUGCAGACCAACUGACAUCAGUACAUUGAGUGUACGAGUAUGCGAGUUGGAAUGCUAAAACAACAUAGACUAGAAAGAAUCUGAGAGAAACUGAAGAACUUACAUGACUCAACUCAACAUGACUGAACUCAUUUCAUUAUAAAUCAGUUUAAAAGCAAGUGCAAUAUAAAGAAAAGUUGUUUAAAAACAUGAUAUUAACUCUGUGUGUAUGCAAGAUACAAAUAACUCUGAGAUGUAUUUAAAAAUACAAUAAACUGAUGUAUAUAAAAAUACAAUAACUUCUGUGGGAGUUUCUCUAACCGACAACCACCACUUAUGAAACUAAGUGGUGAUACAACGUUUUACCUCACGUUACCCAAGGACCAUCNNNNNNNNNNNNNNNNNNNNNNNNNNNNNNNNNNNNNNNNNNNNNNNNNNNNNNNNNNNNNNNNNNNNNNNNNNNNNNNNNNNNNNNNNNNNNNNNNNNNNNNNNNNNNNNNNNNNNNNNNNNNNNNNNNNNNNNNNNNNNNNNNNNNNNNNNNNNNNNNNNNNNNNNNNNNNNNNNNNNNNNNNNNNNNNNNNNNNNNNNNNNNNNNNNNNNNNNNNNNNNNNNNNNNNNNNNNNNNNNNNNNNUUAUCCCGGGAUUAACUUACCUUAUCCCGGGAUUAACUUACCUUAUCCAUUACACCAAACGACCCCUAAGUCUUAAAACAAAGUUAAAAGCCUUUGCAAAAGACUUCUUGAAAAGACUCUAAGAAUUUCUUAGACUUGGCUCUUGACUUUCCUUGAAUUUAAAUUUAGGAAUUCAAGGUUAUGGUUUAUGUUUCUGGAUGAUUUCUAGACGUUUAGAAGUCAUUUAGAGUAGUUAGAAUCAAUGGAAAGUGUUAGUACACUUUAGAAGAACUUAAAUAGGCUAGACGACGGAAAACUGACGAAAAACGACGAUUUGGGCGCAUCCCGGGCGCGCUGCGCCAGCCCCAACUUACUGGGGCUCAAAUCUGGCGCACUGUUGGCGCGCUGCCCCAUCCCCUCGGGCGCAUCUGGGGCGCGUUGCGCCAGCCUCCCUUCAAGCAAAAUUCUAACGAACUUUUGCUCUCGUUUUCUGAUCCUAAAUCGUUUUAAUCUAAUUCUUUUUCUCAAUUUCACUUUAGAUUUAUGUACCCAAAUCAUAUACACAAGGAUCUAACUCAAGGAACUCAAGAACUAACAACUUAGUCAUCAAGAACUCCUAAAACUCAACUCAUGUUCAAGAACAAAAGUAAUUCAAGAACCACAUUCAAUAACAUUCAAAAUCCAAUCUUUUUGAAAUGAAAUCGCUGAAUCAAACAUGCUUGGCACGUGGGUAAACGAACCCAACAUUGAGAUAGACUCACAUACCUUAAUUGAUUGAAUCCUCGGCCAAAUUCGCAAGCAAUUCCUUACGACGACAACGAAUCUAGCUUUUUCCUCCUUUGUCUUUUCUUGCGUUCUUCCUCCAAAACCCUAGUUCUAUUUGGUAAAUGUCUAAACUGAUUUAAUUCAGCUUAGACCCCUAAUUAAUUACCAAAAAUGAAUUAAAAUAAAAGGGUAAGGAAAAGACCAAACUACCCUUUAAAAUCCGGAUUGGACAUUUCCUUAAUCCAACAACCCAACUUCCAAAGGGAAUAUCUCACUCAUAUGAACUCGUAAUCGUGCAAACUUGGCGGCGUUGGAAAGAUAAUUCCAAGAGCUUUACAAUUAUACCUGGAAGUACACCUAACUCAUCUUGAUCUAGGAGUUAUCUCCGUUUGAAGUUGGCCCAAAAAUCAACUUUUCUUAACUUAAACAAAUUUUCCAGAUUUUUGUUAUUUCCAAAAAAAAUGACUAUUUCAACUUCUUAGCUUCUUCCUAGUUAUUUCAAUUUGUGAGAUGUUACAUGUGUCUCACUGUGAUUUACAAUUACUGAAUUACCAGCUUAAGUAGGGCUAGAAAAAAAUGUUUUGUUUGAUGGGAGAUCAAUCUAAUUGUGAUUGAAAGUGAAAGAAGGGAGCACGGAAUGUUGGAGCCAAUACACCAACCGAUAACCAUCCAUUAAUUCCUAACCCGAUACCGAGUCAACCGAUAGCUUAUCCAUUGGCUAGCAGAUUAAUUUCUUUCUCGUGUUUGUAAUUUUAUCUUGUUUUAUUUUUUCUUUCACUUAGACUCCAUAUUUAUUUAUUAAGAAAUUAAUUAAAUAUAUAAUUAUGAAUUUGGUAAUUAGAAUGAGUUGUGAGAGUUAAACGAUAAAUUCAAAAUUUAUAGAAAUCAAAUUUUGGCUCCAUUUCUGAAAGGUGAGGUAAAGAUAGGGCUUGGAGUUUAUGAAAUCUAGAUUUUAGAAAAAGACCGCACCUUAAUAGGCUUUUGAUAGAUUAUUUGAAAAUUUUAAAUAUUAAUAUAUGAUUUGAGCUGAAGUUACUAAACACUUUUCGAACCCAAGCUAUACUUCUUUCUCAGGGUAUACCCUCCACAACUUCACUCUUAAUCAUAUAUUUUGACUUUGAAUCAUUCUAGUACUAGAAUAAGGAUAAUCAGCUAGGCAAUUAAGCAACACUUUCUGGCAUGGUGGUACAACUGCCAACAACUAGAAACAUUUUUCAUAUUUCUUAAAUUCAAUCAAUGUAGUAACUUGUAAACUUAAGUUUCAUAGUUAAGAUAUGGUAAAAAAAAUAAAAAUAAUAUCUCUUUUAUUGAGUAAGGUAUAAUCUACAGAAAUUUUUAUGGGCCUCAAAAAUGGGCUGCUCCUUUUAAACAUGGGAUGGGCUUCUCUUCUCUUAAUGGGCCUUAUGCUGCACGAGCCUGUAUUAGUUGGAGCUCCGAAACAGGAAUAGAACACCGGGUUAAGGAUUUGAAAAUUAUCUUUCCAAAUGACAUUCAAGCUAGGUGCUCUAAUAUAUUUUACUCGCUUUCCUUAACUUCCUUGAUUUAUCUUUAUCUAUACUGACAGUGUAAAACUUAUCACUUAUAAUAGUUAACACGUUAUUUUCCUGAUUUCAAAUUAUUAAUCUCAUGAAGUUUCACUUAUAGUUACUUUUAGAUGACUUGAUAGUGAAAAAAAAUAUUCUUUGAAACUUUGUUUCAAAUUGUCUAGCAUACAAUUAUCCCAGAACAAUGUAGGGGCGGAUCUAGUGAAGCAGCUACGAGUUCAUUCGAACCAAGUAGCUUUGCUUAAGACUCUUUAUAUAUGUUAAAAAAUGAAUUACAUAUUUUUCAACCUUUCAAAAUAAAUGGUACUUGUAUUGUUACCAUGUAGUACCUAAGUGUAAUGGUUACGCAUAAUUUGUAAAUUUUGUAAUGAAGGGUCUAUCGGAAACAACCUCUCUUCUCUACCUCCACAAGUUAUGAUAAGGUCUGCAUACACACUACCCUCCUCCUCAGACCGCACUUGUGGGAUUACAUUGAGUAUGUUGUUGUUUGUUCAUUUAGUUGUUGUGAAAAACUAUAAGAUAGUACCAUUUUUUGUUGUGUGUUACACAUGAUUCAGUCCUUAAGACAGCAAAGCUGGUCUUCUGUAGGAGAUAUUUGUCUCAAGUUCACAUUUGAUAUGUGUUACACAUGGUUCUAUAUAUGUGGAUAGGAAAAAUCUAUGUAGGAGAUAUUUGUCUUAAAUAACAUCACCAUUGAUGCUGGAAUACAAAUCACUUUCCCUAGCCUAGAAGUUUUGCAGUUUUCUUGUAAACUGAAGGAUUUUUCACACUUGUUGAGAAAUGUAAAGACAUUUGUGUACUUGGAUAUUUCUGCUCCCAAUUGCACACGCAAAUGUAUGUGGUCGCGGAAGAAAUAUAGUGACUCUUAACAGAAUCGGAUUAUAUAUCGAACCCAAAAGACUUGUCAAUUAACUAUUUUACUAAAUUAUACUGGUCUAAUUAUUUAUUUAAGAGUGCCAAAAGAAUUGACUUUUAUUUAAAUACUAAGAAUGCAAGAAUUAAAUAAUAAAAUUACUUACAAUGGUUGGAAAAUUUCAGGGCCGCAACAUGCAUAGGGUUCAUGUAUCACAUCUCAUGCAUGAAUUAACUACAGUUAUCAAAUUACUGAUUUACACGGUUGAUUUUAUGAUCGAUCAUGGUCUUCCGACCUCUAAUCGUCUACUCAAUUUAGUUGUUUAACUACAUCGUUGAGUGAGGAUAGACAGUCCUAAUUGACGAGCAUUUAUAUUUCCUCAUGUUUUGUGACCAAGCUAGGUGUUCGUCUGAGCGUCAUUCCUAAACACAAAUCAACUCAAUUUAAUGGAAGAUCAACCUUUUUGUAUCCAUUGGUCUAUCUACCUUAGUGUCUCCUGAUUUUAAGAGUAGACAAUAGAUUUAUCUCUAUGAUGGCCAGUCAAGAAAUACUAAAACAAGAAUACAAAAGUAAUUUAAGCGAUAAUCGAUGUUCAACACUUACACAUAGCUACAACCCUAGAACAAGGGCCUUUAACUACUAAUGUCUAAGAAAAUAUAUAGAAGCCUAAAAAGUAUUGACAACUUUAUAGUUAUACCUAUGAUUCAUCUCCCCCAAUAAUUAUUUCUAUGAACUAUUUAUAGAUAUAGAAAAUUCCAAAUAAAAUAACUGAGUCCAAAACAAAUCGGAAAAUCAAAACCAAACGGAAUUUGACUUCCACGUCAACAAUGGUCGUCCAACUGCCUCAAUUCUCUUUGCUGCCUUCAGAAUCAGCCACGUGGCAACUAAUGUAGGUAAACUUCAUUAAUUUCCUUUCUUUGUACGUUUGAAUGAAUAUUAAGUUGUCUGCUUGAUUUUCUUCUAUAAUCUUUCAUCUUUAAUUCGUUUUAGGUCCAAAUUUUUUCAUCUUCACACCAAUUUAAUCUUAUAAAUAAAAUACACUACUUAGCAUAAUUCAUAAAAUUCAUGCUAAAAAAGGACAAAUAUAUAUAAUAAAUGUAAGGUAAAUAAUGAUUAAAAUAUAUAUUUUUAGCCUCAUAUCAAUAAGAUUCGUGGUCAAAUCCCUAACUGGUUUAAUGGCAUGAGGUGGGGUUCGUAAACCUUUCACAUAAUUCAUUAACAGGCCACCUACCAAAAUUUCAUUACCAUAAUGUAGAGUAUCUUGAUCUUAAAUUUAACUCCCUUCGGGGUCCACUACCUUCAUCCAUAUGUAACCUAAUAUAUAUUCCUUUAACAAUCUGUACAUUGAAGCAACUCACACUUUUAGAUCUUUGGAGGAGAAAUUCCUGCAUUUGAAAGUUCGAUUUUUUUGUGUUUGCCGUAGCAGUGGACUUAUAGGCCUAUUCAUCCUUGUAAUGAAAAUUGAACAUGAAUGAAAAUAAAAACCAAAUGAAAGAAAAAAAAUAUGGAGUAUAUAUUAUUUUGUUAGGUCUUCUUCGUCCUCUAACAAACACUACAAAAUAUGAGUAAUAAGUUGUUAGAAGUGAGUAGUACUCAUCUAUGGACCACAAGUUGCGUACCAUUUAUGAUUGUAUAGAUUCCAUGGAAAAAUUGCAUAGAAAUUUAAUGCAUUUGUACAACUUGGUUUCCUCUAUUCCGAAUGUACAAUAAUUGUUCUCACAAUUGGUUCAAUGACGCGUUUUGACCUUUUAUGAUUAUAUAGAUUCCGUGGAAAAAUUGUACUAAAAUUUAUUGCAUUCAUACAACUUGGUUUCACUUGAUUAAAGGGACCAAUUUCACAUCAUCUUGCUUAACACAUACUGCAGAGAUAGUCGAUCUAUGACCUCGAAAUGAACAACAACAUCUAGAGAAAAUGAGGACAUAGUGAGUAUUAUAUUGUUAAGUCUUCUUCGUGCUCUAAAAAAUCUCGUGAAACACUACAAAAUAUGUGUAACAUGUUGUUAUAAGUGACUAGUACUUAUUCAUGAAGUACAGGUGACUUUGAGUCUUCCUGGAAAUUGACUUUAACACUUAGGAUGUGUUUCUUUUCUUUCGUUAAUUUGUACCUCAUAGUCCCAUGCAUAGACAAGUCAGCAAUGCUACUUUAUGAAAUAUCGUUUAGUUAAUUAAUUGUUCACAUUAUUUAAUGUGGAGGUCGUUAUAACAAUUAAGAGAUGAAAUGGUGUUUAGUUAAUUAUAUCAUCAUUUCUUACGUGACUACUUAUUUUAUUAACUUAUUUAUAUCUGGGCAAUUAUCAUGAACCCGCAUUAUUAUUUUUACGUUUAUCUUUUUUAUUCUUUCAUUAUUAAAUACUCUAAAGUCUAUCAAACGGUAAAACCUUUUGAAUUAUACAAACAAUAUUGUUGGGUGUUAAUAAAAAGAUCAAUCUGUUUUUUGGUGUAUUCUUUAAAUUACAAGCACUAUAACAAAAACAACUUUUAGCUCAAAAGUCACUUAACUAUGAAUUCUUUUCUCAAAAAGUCACUCAACAUUGAAUUUUAACACAAAUAUCACUCAAUUAUGAGUGGUUUACUUACAAAGUCACUCAAUUAUGAUUGUUUUACUUACAAAGUCUGUUAACAUAUUUAAUUGUUUUUUUAAUUAAAAUUUGUUGGUAUAAUUUUCUUAUUUAAAAUUAAUAUUUUAAAAAAAAGUAAUAUCCAUUAAAUAAUUUAAUGAUCUGCCCCGCUAAAAAUAUAAUAUUGAUUUUUUUUUUAAUUGGAAUUCAAGAAUAAUACGGGAAUAAAUUAUUCCAUGCAUCAGAAUUCUAAGCAUUAUGAGGAAUAAAUUAAUUUCCUCUUCAUCCCCUCCCCCUUUCUCAGUUGCUGCCUCUUCUUCCUCUUUUAGUUUUUUUAAUUGGAAUUCAAAAAUAAUACUGGAAUAAUUUCAUGCAUCAGAAUUCCUAAAGCAGAGGAGAAAGAAUCCGACAAUAAUUUAGGAGAAUUAGCGGUAAAAUAAAAUGGGUCAAUAUUAUAUUUUUAGGAGGUCAUUCAUUAAAUGAUUUAAAUGAAUAUUUUUUUAUUUUUUAAAAUAUUGCUUUUAAUAAAAUUUUAUACCAGCAAAUUUAAUUAAAAAAUUAACUAAAUAGGUCAAAUGACUUUGUAAGUAAAAUACUUAUAGUUGAGUGACUUUGUAAGUAAAACACUCAUCAUUGAGUGACCUUUUAGUUAAAAUUCAAGUUGAGUGACUUUCUGAGAAAAGAAGUCAUAGUUGAGUGACUUUCUGAGAAAAAAAAUUCAUAGUUGAGUGACUUUCUGAGAGAGUAGUGCAUAACUGAGUGACAAUAUUAUAUUACGUGGUUUUGAGUAAGUUUUAUUAUUCUAACUUUAUAUUAUAUAUUUUUUCAUUGAAAAUUUUCGUUGUUUGUAUUCUUACUUCAUAAUGGUCUAUGACUUUGUGUACAUCCUACCUUCUUGAAACUUUACUUGUAGGAUUACAUUAAUCAGUAUGUUAUAAGUAUUCAAUUUAUGUUCGAGUAAUCAACACCAAAUAUUUGGGCAUAUCCCUUGACAACAAGCCUAGCCUUGUAUUUAUUGAUAGAACCAUCAGAAUUGAGCUUGGUUCUAAACACCCAUUUUACUCCAAUGACCUUCAUAUCUUUCAGUCGGUCGACUAACUCCCAAGUUUUGUUUUUCUUGAUCAUUAGCAUCUCCUGCUCCAUUGGCGUUUUCUCCAUUUUUUAUCUUGAAGUGCUUCAUCGUGCCCUGCAGGCUCACAAACUGCCACAUUACUUUGUUGGUAGAUGUCAGAGAGUAGUCUUGUACCUCUAAUUGGAAGAUCAUCCACCAACUCAUUUUUCCAGUGAUCCGAUGCCUGCUCCUCUGAAGCUUUGACUGAAAGUUGAUUGUCCUUCCAGUCCCAUUUCUCUUCAUCAACAAAGUGCACAUCUCUACUGACAAUCAUCUUCCCUGUUUGUGGAUUAUAUACUUUGUAGGCCUUGGAGGAUGAGCUACAACCCACAAAUAUUCCAGGAAGUGCCUUCUUGUCAAGUUUGUCUCUUUUAACCUGUGGCACAUGGAAGAAACAAACACAACCAAAUACUUUAGUGAAGCUUAGUGAUGGUUUGUAUCCAUUCCAAGCCUCAAAUGGAGUUUUAUUCAACAAUGCUUUAGUAGGAAGCUGAUUUUGGAGAAAUAUUGCCGUAUUAGCUGCCUCAGUCCAAAAACUUUUCGGCAACUCUUUUUCAUGCAACAUGCACCGCGACAUCUCCAUUAUAUAUCUGUUUCUCUUUUCACUAACUCCAUUUUGUUGCGGAGUAUAUGGAGCAGUAAGCUGAUGAGUAAUACCCGCUUUCUCACAAAAUUUGUUAAAUUGUUCAAAAUUAUACUCUUUUCCAUUGUCAGACCACAGAGAUUGGAUUCUGCAACCACUUUGAUUUUCCACCAUCUUCUUGAACUUCAAGAAAAUUCCAGCCACUUCUGAUUUAUAUUUCAUAAAAAAAAUCCAGCAGAAUCUUGUAUAGUCGUCAAUGAAUAUAACGUAGUAUAGACUACCAUUAAGGGAUGGUGUUCUUUGAGGUCCUGCAACAUCUGUGUGAAUCAGUUGCAACCUUUGAGAAGUCCGCCAUGUUGCUUUAGGAAAUGACUUCUUAUUCUGCUUACCAAAUUGACAAGCUUGACAACUUGGUAAGUGAUCAACUAGAGUUGGUAGUCCUCUUGUCAUAUCUUCCUUCUCCAGCAACAAUAGUGCUUGUAGAUGGCAAUGGCCAAGUCUCUUGUGCCAGGUUUCCGUUACACUUGCCUUCAUGGAAUAAGCUAGUCACUCUUUCUCUGUUGGAUCAAAGGAAAAAAUCCUUCCUCUCAUCUUCACCCUGAAAAUUUCAUUUCCAGUAGUGUCACUGAUUUGACAGUGAUGAUCUUCGAAGAAAACCUUGAAUUCUUUUUCCAUCAGAUGUCCUACGCUUAGCAAAUUCUGAUCAAUUUCAAGAACAUACAGAACCUCUGAAAUUUUCUUUGUGCCAGUGCUCGUCUUGAUAGCUAUGGUUCCAAUUCCUUUGACAGGAAGGUGAUCUCCAGUUCCUAUCCAAACCUUCGAAAUUUCAGUGGGCUUCAACUCCUUGAAUAAACUCUCGUCAUGAGUCAUGUGGUUAGUGCAACCUGUAGUAUCCGGAAAUUUGAAAAUAGCUAUGACGAGGCUGAGAAUUGGAAAUAGUCACUUUUUGGAAAGAAUUCAAAUCUGGAAAUUUGGUUAAGUGUGGGAAAAAAAUGAGUUUUUGGCCAACUUUGAACAGUCAUAACUCCUAGAUCAGGAUAAGUUAGGUGUAGUUCCAGUUAUUUUUGCGAAGCCCUUGGAAUGAUCUUUCCAACACUGCCGAGUUUGCUCGAUUCCGAGUUUGUAUGAGUGAGUUAUGCCCUUUGGAAGUUGGGUUGUUGGUAUAGGAAAGUUCACCCGAAAUUGUAAGGGUAUUUUGGUCUUUUCCCUAACCAAUUCUUUUGGUUAUAUUAGUGUGUUAGACUGAUUUUGGAUUAGUUUUUCCCAUUUUAAAGAGUAAGAGAGAGGGUUUGUGAGUGAAGAGGAGAAGAAGAGGAGAAAGAGGGGAUCAAGCAAGGAUUCAUCAAAGAUCGUCGUGGAUAUCGUCGGGGGUGAUCCCUACUAGGUAUGUGAGUUCAUAGUGUUGGGUUGGUUCUUUCCCCCACACGCCAAUCUCGUUUUAAUUUCGAGAAAAGAUUGAUUGUGUUUGUUGAAGUUGUUGGUUGUGAUUGUGUUGAAGUUCUUGUUGAUUUGGGCAUGUUUUCGGUUGUGUUUCUGGGUUAAAUAUAUUGUAUGUUGAGGGGUUUUAUGAUAUUAAGUGUUUGGGGCUGGAAACUUUGAAGUUGGGAAGGUUUAGAAUUGGAAAAACAAGGAAGAAAAGUCGAAUUUUCGAGGGAAAAGGGGUGGGCCAUCGCGCCUGCCAGCGCGCCCCAAAAGGGGUUCUGAACUUUCCCCCUUGGGGCGGCGCACCUAGCAGCGCGCCAGCAGGCCCCUCUGAAGUUUUAGGGCUGGCGCCCCGCGCCUCUCAGAGCAACAAGGACGCCAACCUUUCCCAUUCAUUCCCCACAUUUUCAUGCAUGUUCCUUAGUAUUGUACUUAUGUUUCAUAGUUGUUUCCAACACUCCAAGGUACGUCUAAACGUCAAGAACUCAUCGAUAAACAUGUGAUCAUAUACCUUGAAUCCAUAAUCCAAUUCAAGGCGAGUUAGGAUCAAGUCAAAGUGAAGUUAAGGGUCAAGUCUAGAAGUUAAGAAGCAAGUCAAAGCAAGUUUUCAAAGGUGUUCAAGAGUCUUUAUUGAACGUUCUAACUUCAUUUUAAGGCUCAAGUUUCAAGUCAAGUAAAGAGUAUAGAGCUUCAAGCUAAGUAAAGAGUCUCAGGUUUCAAGUUAAGUCAAGAGUAUAAAGUUGAGUUCAUUUCUCAAAAACUAUUAGGGACCUAAGUAUUCCCAAAGACGUUUAUAAAUGUUUUUACAUUUGAGUAAGAAGGGAACCAUGUUCUCCAAAAAGAGCCUUUGGGCUAAGUUUGAGUAAUUAUCUCAACUAAAGAAAGAUUUGUUUAAAACACUUAUGAGCUAAAAUAUAUUUUUGGGAGUAGUCUUGAGCACCGAGUUGGGGACAUGAGUUCAUAUUAACUCAACUCUCCAUAAGAACCAUGUGGCCAACAUGGGAUUUAACGGGUCAUACUUUUUAGAUAAUCACGUAAGUUAAGCUAGUGGAUCCACUUAGUAAAGUUAGCUUCCUAUAUCACGGCAAGGUAUAGGAUGGGCCUCGGCAGUGCGAGGUAAAGCGCUGUAUCAUCACUAUAGUUCUUAAAUGAUGGUUGUCGGAUAGAGAAACUCCCACAGCAGUAGAAAGUGCUUGGUUCCUCGAGGAGUUCUGCUUAGUAUGAAUGGGGGUAUGGGACUUCAUUCAUACAUUGCACAAGUAGACCUUGAGAGGAAGCAUGGUAUUUUCAUGAUAUUAAAAAUAUGAUUUUUACGUCAUGUUUUAAGAGUUUUACAAGCUUUAUAUAUUGCAUGUGUCUUAUUGCUUUAUAUAUUGAGUUCAGUUAUUCAUGAGUCCUCCUUGCUUUCCAUAGGACUCGGUUAUUUUGUGUUCUUAGUUUUGUUUUAUUAGGGUGUUGCGGGGUCUGUCCCAACAUCCAUCUCAGUAUUUUUAGAGGCUUCACAGACAGUCAGUCAGUAAGUUUUGAGUCUCUCAUCUAUGUAUAUAUAUAAUAUUCUAUUUUGAGACGCGAGUUGCUUUUUUGGCUAGCUUUUGUCAGUUAGGUUGUUUUAUGACCUUUCAUUGCAUUGAGUUAUGCUGUUGAGUUAAGUUUCUGUUGAGUUAAGAAAAGCCAGGCCAAGGGUUCGCUUGGGGGCCAACAAUGGUGUUCGAGUGCCGGCCACGUCCAGGGUGUAGGUUCGGGGCGUGACACAACCACUGUCAACUAACCAAGAAUCUGUUGAGCUCUUACUUGAAAAGCAUGUUGCAAUAAAAGGAUGAUCUUCUUCUUCUUGAUCAACAACUUGAGCAUUUCCUUCCUCCUGCGGGGCCUAAUUCUUGCAAAUCACUGCUUCGUGUCCAAGCUUAUUGCAUUUCUUACAUUUAGCAUCAAGUCUCUUCCAACACUUGAAUGGUGCAUGGCCUUUUCUUCCACAAUGGUGACAAGGGGGAUAACUUUUUUUCGCACUUCCUCCCUUAGUUUUGUUGUUGGCUGAUGUUUCUCCUUCACACACUGCUUGAUUCUUUUUCUUCUUCUGAAUUUUGUUAACCUGAUGCUUACUGACAAGUGCCCCUUCUGUUGUAACCUCCUGUCUCAUGAGUCUUCUUUGCUCUUGAGCUUUCAGGGAAUUGAGCAACUCUGUCAAACUAAUCUUUGACAAAUCCUUAGUAUUUUAUAAGGUUGUAAUUGUUGCUUCAUACCUUUCAGGAACUGUUACAAGGAUCUUCUCAACAAUUCUCGAGUCUGAAAAUGUAGAGCCGAGUAGCCUCACCUUUUUUGCAAUAUUUAGAAGUCUAUCCGAAUAUUCCUUCACUGUUUCAGAUUCCUUCAUUUUUUGCAAUUCAAACUCCCUAAUUAAGUUUAAAACUUGCAUACCUUUUAUUCUCUCAUCUCCAGAAUACUCUUCCUUAAGAUAAUCCCAUACUUCUUUAGCAGUUUUCAGAGACAUUAUUCGCGUGAAAACUAUUGACGAUACAACAGCAAAUAAACAUGCCUUGGCCUUCGAUUUCUUUGUCUUCUGUUCCUUGUGUGCUUUAAUCUGAGCAAUGGUAGGAUUAUUUGGUAGGGCUGGAAUAUCGUAAUCCUCUUCCACAGCUUCCCAGAGAUCCAAAGCAUCCAAGUACGUCUCCAUUCAUACUGCCCAAAUCUGAUAAUUAUCUCCAUCAAAGACCGGCGGAGCAAUUGGUGAGAAACUUGCUUCAGCAUCCAUGGCUACUCCAACUCGAUCACAAAUCCCUUAAGAUGAAAGCUCUGAUACCAACUGUUUUUAGUAAGACUAAUGACAGAUAACACAAUGAAGACAAUGUCUAGUUUGCUACAGAAAGGAAAGCAGGAGAAUACAAGGAAUUUAAAUGUGAAGAUAACUAAGAGAAAAGCUUAUGCAGAAAGUUGUAUUUCAGUAAAAUCAACCAAAAAUACAUAAACAUACAAUUAAGUAACUGAUAUAGAUCAUGGUCCUACUUUUAAGUCAUGGUACUAACCAUGGUAACUACCCCUAAAAUAACUGAAAAAAGAAAUACAGGAAACUUAGAAAUAGAUCCUGCAGUCCUAAAGCAACUAACUAAUAGUCGUAAAUGGUAAUCGAUUUGAAGGACCUGUCCCUGUGUCGUUGCUCAAAUGUCAUAAUUUAGAAGUUCUUGAUGUGGGGAACAAUGCUAUAAAUGACACGUUUCCAUCUUGGCUUGAAAUUCUUCAAGAGCUGCAGGUCCUUAUAUUAAAGUCGAACAAGUUCCAUGGACCUAUAAGUACGUGUCAAACUAAGUUUUGCUUUCCCAAGUUGCGAAUUUUUUAUUUUUCUCGUAAUGAUUUCAGUGGCUCACUUCCUGCAAAAGUUUUUGGAAACUUCAAGGCAAUGAUCAAAUUAGAUGACGAAGACACAAGAGAGAUCAGGUACAUGGAAUCUAUGUCGAAUUUGUCAUCUAUCGCAUCGUAUGAGGAAUCAGUGAGUUUGGUAAUCAAAGGGCACGUUAUUGAGCUACAAAGAAUCAGCACAAUUAUGACAACCAUAGAUCUCUCAAGCAACCAUUUUGAAGGUGUCAUUCCGGAAACACUAAAAGAUCUCAGCUCACUUUGGCUACUCAAUUUAUCCCAUAACAAUCUCAUAGGUCAUAUUCCAAUGGAAUUGGGGCAAUUGAAUACACUUGAAGCUUUAGAUCUCUCCUGGAAUUGGCUCACUGGAAAGAUUCCGCAGGAAUUAACAAGAAUGAACUUUCUGGCCUUCUUAAACAUCUCUCAAAAUCAUCUCGUCGGACCAAUUCCUCACAGUCUACAGUUCAACACAUUUGAAAAUGACUCGUAUGGCGGCAACCUUGAUUUAUGUGGUCCUCCUUUAUCAAAACAAUGUGGAACGAGAGAUUCAUCACAUGUUCCUCAAGCAUUGGAGUCCUAUUUUUUUAGUGGAUUUACAUGGGAAUCAGUAGUCAUAGGCUACAGUUUUGGACUAGUUGUUGGAACUGUCAUGUGGAGUCUCAUGUUUAAAUAUCGUAAGCCAAAAUGGUUAGUGGAAUUUUUUGAUGGACUCAUGCCUCAGAAAAGAAGAAGGCCAAAGAAGAGAGCUCAGAGACGACGGACUUAAUGGAAGAUUGAGAGGGGCCAACUUGUCUUUGUUUGAUUUUGUGGACUAAUUAGUGAACUUCUCUGGUUCUGUUUUUGUCUUUUUAAUAUUCUGUUUGUUGUUUGUAUAUGUUUGAUAGAAACAUAAUUAUAUAUGAGUUAUUUUAGUAUCAAUGGUUAUUCAAGUUAUGUUUCUGUUUCAAGUUGACAUAAGUGAUCCACACACCAAACUUAUUAAUUAGCUAUGAUACCCGGACUUUUCAAAAAUGCCAACAGAUACUUGUUGGAUUCUUCAAAGUAUUGCAUUUCUCAAGGAACCAACACAGGUGCGACAUCAUUAUAUUUUAGGAGAGUCGGAGCAACAUAGUUCAUUAGUACAACAAAAAGGAAAAAGCAAAGCAGUAAGCACAUAGAGUUUGGUUCAUGAUUGAAAUCACUUGAUAUUAGAAAGUUCAUAUAUUCAGCAUAACUGCAUGUCCAUUUUACAUUACAGUUCUUCUUAUACAAACUAGAAAAGAAAAUCUUGUGUUUACAGAAACUGAAAAUUGAUUUUCUAUAAUGUAAUACAUUUGCAUUGACCACACUACCCUUUUGUCACAGUGUUUUAUAGGUUACGAAGUUUAAGAAAAAAAAGUAAGAUUUUUUAAAUUUGUGAUUUUGAAUAUGACGUGCGAUUUUUGUGGCUAUAUAUAAAAGUAUGAAGUGUUGAUCUUUUUUGAAAUAGAUUAAUAGGAAAUAGUGUUACGUAAAAUGAAAGACAGAAUGUACUAUAUAGUGUGAUAUUGAACCAGAUCUUGAGAUAUAUAGAGUGCAAACUAGCUAGCUGUAAAGUAUCAACUUUGUCCCCAUUAAGUUUUUUCUACUACAAAAAAACUAGAAAAGUGAAAAGUGUUGUGGAAAAUUAUAGAAUGUACCUAACAUGUUUGAAAACAACUAAUCAGGAAUUUCUGAUACAAUUUCUCUGCAAUCUUUAACAUUAAAUAUUGACCAAGUCAAGUCUCUCUGGUGGUGGAAUUAGAAUGUUGAAUUAGCUUUACUUUUAUUUCUUUCUUGUUUAACAUCUUAUAUUUAUAAAUAAAAUAAGGCAACAUGUCCUAUCAUUAUUAUACUAAAUUUAUUUUUCUUCUUGUUUAAGAGCUUAUAUUUCUGUAAAGAAUGUGUAUGCUAUAUUUUUACAUUUUUCACUUCUGAAUAAGUAGUAGUAUAUGAAUCUUGCAUAAUAUAACCUGCUUUUCCAAGAGGCCUUUGUGUAUUAAAUUUUUUGUAUCUAUUAUCUAGAUUAAGCUUCAUCUAGAUAAUGCAAAAACCGACUCUGGUUAGUCUUCGCGGAAAUUUGCCUAAAGACUUAGAAGUCAUCGUCUGAUAGUUGCAGUAAAGUACCCCUUUUUUCUUUGUUGCUUAAUUAAAUACGAGACGGUCCUAUGAAGAAUAAUGGAGUUUCCCUCAUUAACUUAAUGUGAAAACUCAUGUGUAACUAACAAGUUUGAAAACAGCACAAGAGACAACUAAUCAAACACCAACUUGGAAAUUUCUCAUAAUAGCUUUUAGGAACGCUUUGUAUAAUCCAAUGUUUUUUUGAGCUAUUGACUUAGUACAACACAACAGGAAAAGGCUGCAUCCACCUGUGGGGCUCAUGUUGUUCAUGGGUUAUUUAUCAGUCUAGACCUUAGUGGUAGUUAUCUUUAUGGAACUGUAGAGAAUAGCAGAAGAAAAGUAUAAUCUGCUAGCCCAAGAUCAUUAACUAUAAAAGAUCGGAAUAUUCAACUAAAGAAGAGGAAGCUAGAAAGAACUUGUUUAUGGAAUAAGACUCUUUUAUUUGGGUUGUUCUUGAGUUGUAUACAAAUGACUGAGGCCACCCCUAUUUAUACUUAUGUGGGGAUGGUUCUAGACAUUACAAGAUCUAGACUAUUUUCUACAGUGAGUGUUACAUACGGGACCAAUUUCACAUCAUCUUGCGUAACAAACAAUGCAGAAAUAGUUAAUGACCUCGAAAUGAACAACAACAUCUUGAGAAAAUGAGGACAUAAGGGGUAUUAUUUUGUUAAGUCUUCUCCGUCCUCUAAAAAGUCUUGUGGAACACUACAAAAUAUGAAGUAACAAGUUGUUAGAAGUGAGUAGUACUCAUCCAUGGACCACAAGUUGUGUAGUUAGUGAUGCCAAGGUUGUAUUAUUUUUUCUCCCUUUAUGCCAAAGUUGGACAAAAUGAAUAUUGUAUAUAUAAUUGGUACUAUCAAACAAAAUUUGAAGACUUGAGUCUUUCUGGAAAAUGACUUAAAACACUUUGGACAACUUUUUUGCAAUCACAAAUUAGUUAGUGGUAGAUGUGGGGGCAAAUACCCCAUUUUAUUUGUCUGGAUAUGUUUCAUUCUCUUUUUCUAUUCACACUUUUACAGUAAAGAUGAAAGAGAAAAUAAUUUAUGUGUGAACAAAUUAAAUAUACCACAACAUGAUUUUCUUAAAAAUAAAAAAAAUAAAAAAAGUAAUUUUUGUACAAGUAGGGAUAUAUGUGAAGCCACUUUUGUAACAACGGGUAUAUUAACUCUAAAAUGACAAAGUUGAGGGAUAUAUCAUGCCCUUUUCCUUAAUGUGCCUUGCAAUGAUAACAAUAUAAGUUGAAUAGGAUACAGUUCACUACAAUUAUACCACAAAAACAACUUUUUUGAUGUAGUGUCGAUCACUACACCUUUAUCUUGAGUCGAGGGUCUACGAAAACAGCCUCUCUACUACUUUGGUUAUUCUCCAUCUCUUUCAUGUUUGAACUGUAUCAUAUAGAUGGAGUUUCCCUCAUUAACUAAAUGUGAAAAGUCUUGGAAAACAACACAAGAGACAACUAAUCGGAAAUUUCUCAUAAAAUUUCUAAUUAUGCAGGAAAUUAAGACACAUAUCAAACAAAAUUUUGAAUAAAAAGCAAAUAAAAAAAUUAAAAAAAAAUUCCACACGGUAUUAUUGUUCAUUUUUUUCCUCACUUGACUUAGUCAAGAAAUAGUUUCUCUCAUUGGAAAUUUCUUAGAAGUUCAGCAAAAAACAAUUCCACAUAAUGGGACCAAAUUCACAUCAUCUUGCCUAACACACACUGCAGCGAUAGUUAAUGACCUCAAAAUGAACUCAACAUCUAGAGAAAAUUAGGACAUAAAGAGUAUUAUUUCGUUAAGUCUUCUCCGUACUCUAAAAAGUAUUGUGGAACACUACAAUAUAUGAGUAACAAGUUGAUUUUUAAUACCAUUGUUUAAUCUCCUUAAUGUUUUGAGUAAGAUUUGAUUUUUUUUUUUACGCGAUGCGUGACGCCUAGGCAGACGUGCCCUGAGUAAGAUUUGGUUAUUCUAACUUUAUAUUAUAUUUUUUCAUUGAAUUUUUUUGUUGUUUGUACUCUUCCUUCAUAAAGGUCUGUGUAUAUCCUACCUUCUUGAAACUUUACUCGUAAGAUUACAUUAAUCAUUAUGUUAUAGGUAUUCAAUAUACAUAGGACACUUAGAACUAGUAUAUAUAUGUAUGGAUGAUACUGACUGAUUUGUAAGAAGAACACAUCCAUCCUGAACACAAACAAACAAAAAAUGGUCAUGAGUCUGUUUUUCUUUUAUUCAUUUCUAUGUUUUGUGUUUUUAUUAAGUGAAUGCUUUUCUUCAUCCUUUGAUCAUCAUCUUUGCUCUCCCACUGAAGUUUCUGCUUUGCUUCAGUUUAAGCAAUCCUUUAAAAUAUCUGAUUACUCUACUCUUCAGUGUGAUACUUCUUUCCCAAAAACAAAGUCUUGGAAUGAGAGUAGGGAUUGCUGCAGUUGGGAUGGAGUCACUUGUGACUUAUUAAACGGUCAUGUUAUCGGGUUAGACCUUAGCUGUAGUCAGCUUCGUGGAAGUAUUCAUCCCAAUAGCAGCCUCUUCCAACUUCAUCAUCUCCAAACACUAAACCUUGCUUACAAUAACUUUUCAACUUCUUCAAUCUCACAUAACAUUGGCCGAUUGAGGAAUUUGAGGCAUCUCAACCUUUCUAAUUCUUUCUUUAGUGGGAAAAUCCCAACAGAAAUCUCAUUCCUUUCCAAUUUGGUUUCACUUGAUCUUUCUUAUAGUUAUGGAUUACAACUUGAUGAGAGAACAUUUGAAACAAUGCUUCACAACUUUACAAAUCUGGAGGUACUAGCUCUCUUUCUUGGCAACAUCUCGUCACCGAUACCUGUAAGUAUUCAUCCCAAUAGCAGCCUCUUCCAGCUUCAUCAUCUCCACACACUAAACCUUGUUAACAAUUUCUUUUAUCCUUCUUCAAUCCCAAAUGGCAUUGGCCGAUUGAGGAAUUUGAGGCAUCUAAAACUCUAUGAAUUUCAAGGGAAAAUCCCAACAGAAAUCUCACACCUUUCCAAUUUGGUUUCACUUGAUCUUUCUUAUAGUUAUGAAAAAUUACAACUUGAUGAGAGAACAUUUGAAGCAAUGUUUCAGAACUUGACAAAUCUGGAGCUACUUUCUCUCUAUGGUGUCAACAUCUCAUCUCCGAUACCUGUUAAUAUUUCUUCAUCCUUAAGGUACCUGGAUCUUGGAUAUACUAAUCUGCGAGGUGUUCUCACAGAGAGCUUUUUCCUUGUGCCAAACUUGGAAAUACUCAAAUUGAGUGGGAAUGAUCUUGUCAAAGGAGUUUUUCCAAAGAUCCACUGGAGCAACACUCUGUUAAUGGAGUUGGAUAUUUCAUCCACAGGCAUCUCUGGUGAGGUGCCUGAUUCAAUUGGCACCUUCAGUUCCUUGAAUAUCUUGAACCUUGCAGGAUGCCAAUUCUCUGGUUCCAUUCCUGAUUCCAUUAGCAACCAAACACAAAUUAGGGAGUUGAUUUUAUAUCAUAAUCAUUUCACUGGCCAUAUUCCUUCCACAAUCUCUAAAUUGAAGCACCUCACACGUUUGGAUCUUUCAAUUAACUCCUUUUCAGGUGAAAUUCCUGAUGUUUUCUCAAACCUCCAAGAGCUACGUACUUUACAUCUUUCUUAUAACAGCUUCAUCGGUUCGUUUCCCGCUUCAAUUUUAAGUUUGACACAUCUUGAAUACUUAGGAUUGUCGAGUAAUUCCCUAUCUGGCCCACUGCCUAGCAACCAAAGCAUGCUUCAAAAGCUAACCGAACUGAAUUUGUCAUACAACUCACUGAAUGGUACCAUACCAUCUUGGGUGUUUAGCCUACCUUUGCUAUCUUCAGUGUCGCUCCAACAUAACCGAUUCAGAGGACUAGCCGAUGAAGUGAUCAAAACAAACCCAACAUUAAAACAACUGCAAUUAAGCAAUAAUCAACUCAGUGGUUCUUUUCCUCAAUCACUUGUGAAUCUCACAAACCUUGAAACCCUUGGAAUUUCAUCAAAUAACAUCACCAUUGAUGGGGGAAUGAAUAUCACCUUUCAUAGACUAUCAUCUUUAUUCUUAUCAUCUUGUGAACUGAAGGAUUUUCCACACUUCUUGAGAAAUGUAAAGACACUUGUGUACUUGGAUAUUUCUAACAAUAAGAUUUGUGGUCAAAUCCCUAACUGGUUUAGUGGCAUGAGGUGGGACUCGUUGCAGUUCCUAAACCUUUCUCAAAAUUCAUUAACAGGCCACCUACCACAAUUUCGUUACGAUAACCUACAGUAUCUUGAUCUGAAAUUUAACUACCUUCAGGGUCCACUAGCUUUAUCCAUUUGUAACAUGAGGAAACUUAUCUUAUUAGAUUUAUCACACAACUACUUCAGUGACUCAGUUCCACAUUGCUUGGGAAGCAUGCCUAAUCUAACGGUGCUGGACUUAAGAAGGAACAAUUUCACAGGGAGUCUUCCCCCAUUAUGUGCACACAGCACUUCGUUGAGUACCAUUGUCAUAAAUGGUAAUCCUUCCUGCAAAAGUUUUUGGAAACUUCAAGGCAAUGAUCAAAUUAGAUGACGAAGACACAAGAGAGAUCAAGUACAUGAAAUCUACGUUGAAUGCGUUAGUUGUCAGAUCGUAUGAGGAUUCGGUGAGUUUGGUGAUCAAAGGGCAGGAUAUUGAGCUAGAAAGAAUCAGCACAAUUAUGACAACCAUAGAUCUCUCCUGGAAUCGGCUCAUUGGAAAGAUUCCGCAGGAAUUGACAAGAAUGAACUUUCUGGCUUUCUUAAACCUCUCUCAAAACCAUCUUGUCGGACCAAUUCCUCACGGUCUACAAUUCAACACAUUUGAAAAUGACUCGUAUGGUGGCAACCUUGAUCUAUGUGGUCUUCCUUUGACAAAGAAAUGUGGAACGAGUGAUUCAUCGCAUGUUCCUCAACAAUUGGAGUCCGAAGAAGAAGAAGGCGAGUCAUAUUUUUUAGUGGAUUUACAUGGGAAUCAGUAGUCAUAGGCUACAGUUUUGGACUAGUUGUUGGAACUGUCAUGUGGAGUCUCAUGUUUAAAUAUCGUAAGCCAAAAUGGUUUGUGGAAUUUUUUGAUGGACUCAUGCCUCAGAAAAGAAGAAGGCCAAAGAAGAGAGCUCAGAGACGAAGGAUUUAAUGGAGGAUUGAUAGGGCUAAUUUGUCUUUGUUUGAUUUUGUGGACUAAUUAGUGAACUGUUCUGCUUUUCCCUCAUUAACUAAAUGCGAAAAGUCUUGAAAAAACAGCACAAGUAUAGAAGAAGCAUGAAAUAGAAAGAGUAGCAUUGCUUAAUCAUCUAGUACUGCUGUAGCUUAUGGUAAUCACUAGUAAUUGAUGAAUCACACUUCAAGCAUAUCAUGAAUUUGGCUUAAAGACUUAGAAGUCAUCGUCUGCUAGUUAAUACGAGAUGGUCCUAUAUAUGAAGAAUAAUGGAGUUUCCCUCAUUAACUUAAUGUGAAAAGUCUUGUGUAUCUAACAAGUUAGAAUGUUCAAAUACUUUUAACUAUAUAGUUUUAUUAUUAUUUUGUAUUCUUCUGCUUUGCGUAUCAUCGAGUUUCUCUUACAUACUCUGAUCCCUGAUUUUGUAAGAAUAGAACAUCCCGUUAUUUGGUGAAUACAAAAAAAGAGUCUCUUUUUCUUUUAUUCAUUUCUCUGUUUUGUGUUGCUAAUAAGUCUAUGCUUUUCUUCUUCCCUUUGAGCAUCAUUUUUGCUCUCCCAAGUAGACACUUUAAAACAAAUAUAAAACAUUACAUUUUAAAAUAAAAUGACAAAAGUGAAUAAAUUAAUCAGUGGAUUUACGUGGGAAUCAGUGGUCAUAGGCUACAUUUCACUACAAGUCUACGAUAAAAAAUAACUUUAGCAGGCAAUAAAUAUACACAUUAACAAAGAGUGACUAAAACCUUUACUGGUAUUAAUUAAUUGUCAUUAGAUUCAAUGUCUCUAUAGGCUUUAGGGACACUUAUAAAAAGUGCUAAUUGCCUCUAAAAAUACAUGUUUAGUAGCGAUUAAGCUAUAGCCGUUAAUUAAUUACCCCUAAAGAUCAUUUUUGAUGUAGUGUAGAUCACUACACCUUUAUCUUGAGUCGAGAGUCUAUGGAAACAACACAAGAGACAACUAAUCGUCUAGAGAAAAUGAGUACAUAGGGGGUAUUAUUUUAUUAAGUCUUCUCCAUCCUCUAAAAAGUCUUGUGGAACACUACAAAAUAUGAAGUAACAAGUUGCUAGAAGUAAGUAGUACUCAUCCUGUAAUUCAAUUGUUCAUCAGUCCCGAUUCAUCAUAAUCUUUUUUUUUCCUCUAGUCUUAGUGGAAAUUGGCUCAAAGGCUUACAAGUCAUCGUCCGCUAGUUACAAUACUGUAUCACUUUUUUCCUUAGGUGGAAUAGAAUAUUGAUGGAUUUUCCCUCAUUAACUUAAAAAUGUGAAAACUAUAGUGUACCUAACAAGUUUGAAAAUAGCAGAAUUGACAACUAAUUACUAACUUGGAAUAUUGACAUUUUAUGAUUGUAUAAAUUCCAUAGAAAAAUUGCAUACAAAUUUAUUGCAUUCUCAUAAUUGGUUUCUCUAUUAACUGUUCUCAUAAUUGGUUCAAUGACACGUCUUGACAUUUUAUGAUUAUAUAAAUUCCGUAAAAAAAUGCACUAAAAUUUACUGCAUUCAUACAACUUGGUUUCGCUUGAUUAAAGUGUCCCUUCUUGUCUUAUGGAAGAUGAAAUGGAGUAACAUCAUGUCUUUAUUGUUCAUUUAUUAUUAUUUUUUUCUCAAUUGACUUGGUCAUACAAUAGUUUCUCUCUUUGAAAUGUAUUGUGGGAAACAGAAGAAGAGAUGUUGAUGGAAAGUUAGACAAGAAUGACUUAAAAUAGGAGUUCAAAUUUCUAUCUAUCCNNNNNNNNNNNNNNNNNNNNNNNNNNNNNNNNNNNNNNNNNNNNNNNNNNNNNNNNNNNNNNNNNNNNNNNNNNNNNNNNNNNNNNNNNNNNNNNNNNNNNNNNNNNNNNNNNNNNNNNNNNNNNNNNNNNNNNNNNNNNNNNNNNNNNNNNNNNNNNNNNNNNNNNNNNNNNNNNNNNNNNNNNNNNNNNNNNNNNNNNNNNNNNNNNNNNNNNNNNNNNNNNNNNNNNNNNNNNNNNNNNNNNNNNNNNNNNNNNNNNNNNNNNNNNNNNNNNNNNNNNNNNNNNNNNNNNNNNNNNNNNNNNNNNNNNNNNNNNNNNNNNNNNNNNNNNNNNNNNNNNNUAUUAUUAAGUAUGUUAAAAUAUAAUUAUUAAAAGAUAAAUUAAAAUUAUAAAACCACAAAUACCUAAUAAGAUGUACUAUCAAUUAUUGGUUAUAACUUUCUUGCACUUUAAUUUAAAUUAUAGAUUUAUUUAUAUUUUCAAUUAUUUUUUUAUAAGAACUUUUUAUGUAUAAUAUAAAUUUUGUCUACGUUUAAUAUGCUUAGCUAUGGAUAUUAUCUCAUAGAAAGUGUAAGCAUAAAAUUUUCAUGAUAUGUUGGGUGGUGGUGAUUUAUUUUAAAUAUAUAGUUUCACUUUUUAAGAGUUAAAUCAAAUGAACUUUAGCCAACAUUUAAGAUAUAUUUUUCUACCUUAUUGAUAUAACAUGAAAAGAUUAGCAUUUAUAAUGCUACGACUAAACACAAGUAGAAUAAAAUUUCAAAGAGCAACAAUAAAUGGGUGGGCACCAACAAAUUCAACUGGGCACUCUGAGUGGGGGAAUUAUAAUUGUGUUCAAGUGGUAUGUGAUAAAUCGUACAUAUGCUUCGUCAAUCAGCGGGAACCAACAAUCUAGUGAGAAAUUUCUCAAACCAGUCAUUCUUUUACAUGGAGAACCCACACUGGUGUUUGACUCCAAAGACAUAGAAGCGUUUAUCACGGAGGAGAAUUUAAAAUACGCUCUCAUUGCCAAAUUCUCACAUGGAAGGCCUGAACUUCCAGAUUUACCGAAAAUAUUGUCUCAACAAUUAGGAUUUAAGGGUGAAUGUAACAUUGGGUUAUUAGAAAGUCGGCACGUGUUGCUGUGGUUCACUUUAAAGGAAGAUUAUAUUGCAAUCUUUUCAAAAACUAGUAGGUCGAUUAAGUUCGCUGGUACUGUUAUACCAUUCAGAAUCCAAAAGUGGACUCCCUCUUUUAGUCCUAGGGAAGAAACCUCCAUUGCAAUGGCGUGGAUUUCUUUCCCAAGUUUACCCUGUCAAUAUUUUGCUUGUAAUGCUCUGUUUUCUAUGGCUUCGGCAGUUGGACAACCUCUUGAUGUGGAUUGAGCGACCUAUGAUAAAACACGACCUAGUACUGCAAGGGUAAAAGUCGUGGUGGAUCUUUUAAGGAUCCUUCCAAAAAGAAUUAGAGUUCAAUUCAAAGAUUUAGUCACUGGCGAAAUUACAAACGUAUGGCAAAAAAUCAGGUAUGAUUAUGUACCAUAUUAUUGUAAGAGAUGUAAUCAUCAGGGGCAUAGAGAAGCUGAUUGUCGAACUCUCCGAUGGUCAAGUUGAUGCCAUGGUCAGUGAAAAUCAUAUUGAAGGAGAAAAAUUUCAAGGAGAUCUUCAUGAUCAUCUCAAUUCCUAAAAAACUGAUUUAAACAGGCUGGAAAUUGGUGAAAAGGAUGAUGAAGAAACUGUUAAAGAUUUAGAUGUAGGGGCUGAAAAGAGUGGUGUUCAAAAUCAAAAUUUGGUGCGCCAAAAUUCUGGCCAGCGCCAAGGCAAAGCAAUGUUGGACGACUAUUCUUCAGGGAAUCAAGUAUUAUCCUUAAUUCCUCAAACUGGUGAGUCUUCGCGGCAAAGUUGUAAUUCAGUUGAUCAUGUCUUUAAUUAUUCUUUCAUUUUUUUUCCUCACUUGACUUAGUCAAGCAAUAGUUUCUCUCAUUGGAAAUUUCUUACAAGUUUUGCAGAAUUUUUUUCUACAUAAUGGGACCAAUUUCACAUCAUCUUGCGUUAGUAACACACAACAGAGAGAUAGUUAAUGACUUCGAAAUGAAUACAACAUCAGAGAAAAUUAGGACAUAGGGAGUAUUAUUUUGUUAAGUCUUCUCCGUCCUCUUACAAGUCUUGUGGAACAUUACAAAAUAUGAGUAACAAGUUGUUAGAAGUGACUAGUACUCAUCUUGUAAUUCAAUUGUUCAUCAGUCCCGAUUCAUCAUAAUCUUUUUUGUUCCUCUAGUCUUAGUGGAAAUUGGCUCAAAGGCUUACACGUCAUCGUCCGCUAGUUACAAUACUGUAUCACUUUUUUCCUUAGGUGGAAUCGAAUAUUGAUGGAUUUUCCCUCAUUAACUUAAAAAAUGGGAAAACUAUUGUGUACCUAACAAAUUUGAAAAUAGCAGAAGAGACAACUAAUUAUUAACUUGGAAUAUUGACCUUUUAUGAUUGUAUAAAUUGCAUAGAAAAAUUGCAUACAAAUUUUAUUGCAUUCUCAUAAUUGGUUUCUCUAUUAACUGUUCUCAUAAUUGGUUCAAUGGCGCGUCUUGACUUUUAUGAUUUUAUAGAUUUCGUGGAAAAAUUACACUAAAAUUUAUUGCAUUCAUACAAGUUGGUUUUGUUUGAUUAAAGUUUCCCUUCUUGUCAUAGGGAAGAUAAAAUAGAGUAACAUCAUGUCUUUAUUGCUCAUUUAUUUUUAUUUUUUUGUCAAUUGACUUGGUCAUACAAUAGUUUCUCUCUUUGAAAAGUAUUGUGGAAAACAGAAGAAGAGAUGUUGAUGGAAAGUUAGACAAGAAUGACUUAAAAUAGGAGUUCAAAUUCCUACCUAUCCAUCUAUACUAAUGUUAAAUUGCUAUAAUAUUUUCAACUUAAAAACUACUUAAUUUAGUAUAUUUUCUAUAAUUUAUAAUAUGUUAUAUUAUAUUUAUUUAUUUAAUUUAAAAUAUAGCGUAUUACAUGAUUUAGCAUUCACGUGCAAUGCACGUGCAUCAAAGCUAGUACUAUCUUAAAAACUAUGUUACUAGAUUAUUUUAAAAUGUCAACAGGUACAUGUUAGAUUCUUCAAAAGUUAUGUAUUUUUUAAGGAACCAACAUUGGUGCAACAUCAUCACAUUUUUGGAGAGCCUGAGCAACAUAUACAAGAAAAUUGGAAAAAGAAGUGCAAUAAGCAUAUAGAGUUUGGUUCAUGAUUGAAAUUACUUGAUAUUAGAAAGUUAACAUUUGUGAAAAUUGAUGUUGAAGAGUAGUCAAAACUACAGAAAUGGCUAAUAAUGGGCAAAAUGCUCUCUGGAAUUGGCUCACUGGAAAGAUUCCAAGGGAACUGACAAGACUACAAUUCGAGGCAGACUAAAAACUCUCUCUCAAUGUUCUUAUCAGACCGAUUGCUGUUCCUCAUCUAUUGGAGUCCGAAGAAGAGUCGUAUUUUGCUAGUGGAUUUACGUGGGAAUCAGUGGUCAUAGUUGUGGAUUAGUUGUUGCAACUGUCAUGUGGAGCCUCAUGUCUAAAGCUAAAAUGAAUUGUGGAAUUUUUUGAAGCCAUCUAUAAAAGCAAAAGACAGAAACCUGUGAUCCUUCAAUACAAUUAGUCUCUCAUCAGUUUUCUUUGCUUGUGCAUCAUUUUUUUAUUUGAUCACUACACCUUUGUCUUGAGUCGAGGGUUUACGGAAACAGCCUCUGGUUAUUUUCCAUCACUGUGUAUCAUAUAGAUGGAAUUUCCCUCAUUAACUAAAUGUGAAAAGUCUUGAAAAAACAGCACAAGAAUAGAAGAAGCAUGAAAUAGAAAGAGUAGUAUUGCUUAAUCAGCUAGUACUGUAGCUUAUCGUAAUCACUAGUAAUUGAUGAAUCACACUGCAAGCAUAUCAUGAAUUUGGCUUAAAGACUUAGAAGUCAUCGUCUGCAUGUUAAUACGAGACGGUCCUACGAAGAAUAAUGUAAAAAGUCUUGUGUACCUAACAAGUUAGAAUGUUCAAAUACUUUUAACUAAAAUCUAUCUACAGUUUUAUUAGUAUUUUGUAUUCUUCUGCUUUGUGUAUCAUCGAGUUCUCUUACAUACUCUGAUCCCUGAUUUUGUAAGAACAGAACAUCCUAUUAUUUGGUGAAUACAAAAAAAGAGUCUCUUUUUCUUUUAUUCAUUUCUCUCUUUUGUGUUGCUAAUAAGUCUAUGCUUUUCUUCUUUCCUUUGAGCAUCAUUUUUGCUCUCCCAAGUAGGCACUUUAAAACAAAUAUAAAACAUUACAUUUUAAAAUAAAAUGACAAAAGUGAAUAAAUUAAUCAGUGGUCAUAGGCGACAUUUCACUACAAGUGUACGACAAAAACAACUUUUAGCAGCAAUAAACGUACUGUCACGCCCCGAGCCUACACCCUGGGUGUGGCCGGCACUCGGAGACCAUAGCUGGCCCCAAGCGAACACUUGGCCUGGCUUUCUUAACUCAGCGGAAACCUAACUCAACAGAAUAACUCAACUGAUAAAAUCUGGCCAAAAAGGCAACUCGAGUCUCAAAAUAGAAUAUUUAUAUAUAUAUAUAAAUGAGAGACUCAAUACUAACUGACUGACUGUCUAUGAAGCCUCUAUAAUACUGAGAUGGAUGUUGGGACAGACCCCGCAACAUCCUAAUAAAACAAAACUAAGAGAAACAAAAUAACCGAGUCCUCCGGAAAACAAGGAGGCUCACCACAGACUCUGGAGUGCUCAACUGGAUCAACGGCGUGCUGGAUGCUGAUCCUAGGUACCUGUGUCUACAUCAUAAAAAAAUGCAGGUCAACUGGCAUCAGUACAUGGAAUGUACGAGUAUGUGAGCUGGACCGCUAAACAACAACUUAAGCUUGAAAAGGGGUAUAAAAGAGAACUUACCUUGGCUUUAUUCAACUCAUGAAUAACUGAACUCAAUAUAAAGCAAUAAGACACAUGAAAUAUAUAUAGCUUGCAAAACUAUUUAAAACAUGACGUCAAAAUCAUAUUUAUAAUAUCAUAAAAAUACCAUGCUUCCUCUCAAAGUCUACUUGUGCAAUGCAUGAAUGAAGUCCCAUACCCCCAUCCAUACUAAGCAGAACCCCUCGAGGAACCAUGCAAUUUCUACUGUGGGAGUUUCUCUAACCGACAACCACCACUAUGACCUAAGUGGUGACACAACGUCUUGUCCACGCUGCCAGAACUGUUCUAUACUUUGUCGUUAUAUAGAACUACUUAACUUUAACUUAGUGGAUCCACUAGCUUAACUUACGUGAUCAUCUAAAAAGUAUGACCCGUUAAAUCCCAUGUUGGCCACAUGGUUCUUAUGGAGAGUUGAGUUAAUAUGAACUCGUGUCCCCAAUUCGGUGCUCAAGACUACUCCCAAAAAUAUACUUUAGCCCAUAUGUUUUAAAAACAAACUUCUUUCUCUAAUUUGAAUUACUUGCGCAAACUACCCUCUUAAAAGAGGUAAUUGCUCUUGAAAACUCUUUCUAAAAAGAACAUAUCAAAACCAUAUUUUUAUAUGAUCAUUGAUGACUCGGGAAGUCAUACUGCAUAAACAUUGAUGGUAUAUCUAGAGACCAUACUGUUUAAACAUUGAUGACAUACUCGAUUUUUCAUACUAAUCAUGUUUUAGAAACUCUUUCGCAAAACUCAUCUUUUUCUUAAAGGAGAUAGUACUCAAACUGCUCAAAACUCUUUUGGAAAUCUCAAUUUCCUCUCAUCUUAAAUGUGAAAACAUUUAUAAACUUAUUUGGGAAUACUUAGUUCCCUAAUAACUUUUGAGAAAUGAACUUGACUCUAUACUCUUUAAUUAACUUGAAACUCUAUACUCUUUACUUAACUUAAAACUGUAUACUCUUUACUUAAGUUGAAACUUGAGUUUUAAAAUGAAGUUAAAACGUUUAAUAACGACUCUUGAAAAACUUUGAAAACUUGCUUUGACUCGCUUCUUAACUUCUAGACUUGACCCUUAACUUCACUUUGACUUGAUCCUAACUCGCCUUGAAUUGGAUUAUGGAUUCAAGGUAUAUGAUAACAUGUUUAUGGAUGAAUUCUUGACGUUUAGACAUACCUUGGAGUAUUAGAAACAACUAUAAAACAUAGGUACAAUACUAAGGAACAUGCAUGAAAAAGUGGGGAAUGAAUGGGAAAGGUUGGCGUCCUUGGCACUCUGAGAGGCGCGGGGCGCUAGACCACAAAGCUCAGAAGGGCAGUUGGGACGCACUUCUAGGCGCGCCCCCCAAGGAGAGAAGUUCAAAACACUUCUUGGGGCGCUCUGCAAGGCGCGACGCGCCACCCCUUUUCCCCAAAAACUCGACUUUUUUCCUUCAUUUCUCCAACUCUAAACCUUCUCAACCUCAAAGUUUCCAGCCCCAAACACUUAAUAUCAUAAGACCCCUCAACAUACAAUAGAUUUAACCCGGAAACACAACCGGAAGCAUGUCCCAAAUCAACAAGGAACUUCAACAACACAAUCAACAACAUCAACAAUACAACCAACAACUUCAACAACACAACCAAUCUUUUCUCGGAAAUAAAACGAUUUUGGUGUGUGGGGGAAAGAACCAACCCAACACUAUGAACUCACAUACCUAGUAGGGAUCACCCCCGACGAUAUCCACGACGAUCUUUGACGAAACCUUGCUUGAUCUUGUCUUUCUUCUCCUCUUCACUCACAAACCCUCACUCUCACUCUUUUAAAAAGGGAAAACUGAUCUAAAAAUCAGUCUAACACAUUAAUAUAACCAAAAGAAUUGGUUAGGGAAAAGACCAAAAUACCCUUACAAAUUUCCGGGCGGACCUUCCCUGCCAACUGCCCAACUUCCAAAAGGCAUAACUCACUCAUACGAACUCGGAAUCAAGUAAAAUUGGCGGCGAUGAAAAGAUCAUUCCAUGAGCUUCGCAAACAUAACUGGAACUACACCUAACUCAUCAUGAGCUAGGAGUUAUGACUGUUCAAAGUUGGUCAAAACUCACCUUUUUUCUACACUUGUCCAAAUUUCCAGAUUUUUAAAUUCUUUCCAAAAAUGACUAUCUCCAAUUCUAAGCCUCUUCAUAGUUAUUUCAAAUUGCCGGAUGUUACAAAUACACAUUAACAAAGACUGCUAAAACCUUUACUUGUAUUAAUUAAUUAUCAUUGGAUUCAAUGUCUCUAUAGGCUUUAGGGACACUUACAAAAAGUGCUAAUUGCCGCUAAAAAUACAUGUUUAGUAGCGAUUAAGCUAUAGCCGUUAAUUAAUUACCCCUAAAGAUCAUUUUUGAUGUAGUGUAGAUCACUACACCUUUAUCUUGAGUCGAGGGUCCACUACUAGAAAACUGUAAAUUACCUGGGAAUUUCAUUUGGAGAUUAUUUUCGCAGAAAUUUCCUAUGAAUUUUCAUGCGGAAAUAUGAAAUUCCUAAAUUCUAGACUUCUCUACAUGCGAAAAAUAAUUUCCCUGAAAAAUUGGUAGGUAACUUUGGCGCCAUUUUUACAAAAUUAUUACCUAUGGAAUUAUUUGGGAAAAAUAAUUUGCAAGUAGCAUUUUCAUAGGUAAAUUCACAAGUAAUAAAAAAAUUUAUUUUUUUAGUAUGUUUGCAAGAAAAUUCCUAGAAAAACAUAUUUGCAGAUUUAGCUAGAAAUAAUUACUUGAAAAUUUAUUUGCAAAUAAUUUUAUACGUGUUAUUACUUGGGGAUUUUAUUGUUGUGACUUUGGUUGAAGAUUUUUAGAGGAAUGCAUACUUGAAUUUUUUUAAAUACAAUUUAAUUGGAAGUAUUUUCUUGGAAUCUAAGGAUUUUUUUAUUUGGAGUCUUCAAGAAAUAUUUUCUUUAAAAUAUAUUUAACAAAAUCUAAAACUAUAAUAAUAUAAAAAAUAACAAUGACAUUAGAAUGAAUUUUAUUGUUAAAUAUAUACUCUACUUUUAGAUUACAUAAAUUAUUAUACAAUAAUAUCAAUCUAACACUAUAUUGGAACAUUACCACAAAUGUCAUGAACAAUAUUUUUAACUUAUAUAUAGUUACAAUAUUUAGUCCUAAAAACCAAUGAUGCGAUAUUUUUUUUUUGAAAGAUACAAAAGCAUUAAAAAUUAUAUGGCUAGUUAUUUAUCCUUAGAAAAAUAACUAUCAUAAAUAUAUUUAUUUUUGAUUAGAUAUUACUUUAUAUUAAAUUUCGUAUUAUUGAAUAAGUCAAUCACUGUUUAAGUAGAGUAAAAUUAAAUUAUAUACAUUAUUAAUGUGAAUUUUAAUCAACCCCUAGUUUAUAGAAUUAUAUUAAAUGAAAAAUAAAUAAAAUUUUAACUAUAUAUCAAAUUUAUAUUUUUUUUUUCUUACAAGCAUUAAAUAUGAUAUAAUUUCUCUAUAGUAAGUUAUUAAAUGUUAUUUAUUUGCAAAUAUUUAUUAUUAAGUAUGUUAAAAUAUAAUUAUUAAAAGAUAAAUUAAAAUUAUAAAACCACAAAUACCUAAUAAGAUGUACUAUCAAUUAUUGGUUAUAACUUUCUUGCACUUUAAUUUAAAUUAUAGAUUUAUUUAUAUUUUCAAUUAUUUUUUUAUAAGAACUUUUUAUGUAUAAUAUAAAUUUUGUCUACGUUUAAUAUGCUUAGCUAUGGAUAUUAUCUCAUAGAAAGUGUAAGCAUAAAAUUUUCAUGAUAUGUUGGGUGGUGGUGAUUUAAUUUAAAUAUAUAGUUUCACUUUUUAAGAGUUAAAUCAAAUGAACUUUAGCCAACAUUUAAGAUAUAUUUUUUACCUUAUUGAUAUGACAUGAAAAGAUUAGCAUUUAUAAUGCUACGACUAAUUAAACACAAGUAAAAUAAAAUUUCAUGUUGGUAAGUUUUAAUGAAAAAAAUCAAUUAAAUAGAUUGAAGACUUUGUAAGUGAAACACUCAUAGUUGAGUGACUUUGUAAGUGAAACACUCAUAGUUAAGUGACUUUUGAGUUAAAAAUCAAAGUUGAGUGACUUUCUGAGAAAAAAACUCAUAGUUGAGUGACUUUGAAGUUAAAAACCAAAGUUGAGUGUCUUUCUAAGAAAAUAGUACAUAGUUGAAUGACCUUAUGAGAUAUUAAAAAUUUAGACACAUAUCAAACAAAAUUUUGAAUUAAAAGCAAAUAAAAGAAUAAAAAUAAAAAUUCCACACGGUAUUAUUGUUCAUUUUUUCCUCACUUGACUUAGUCAAGAAAUAGUUUCUCUUAGAAGUUCUGCAUAAUUUUUUUCUACAUAAUGGGACCAAUUUCACAUCAUCUUAUGUAACACACUGCAGAGAUUGCUAAUAACCUCCAAAUGAACACAACAUCUAGAGAAAAUGAGGGCAUAUGGAGUAUUAUUUUGUUAAGUCUCCUCCGUCCUCUAACAAGUCUUGUAGAACACUACAAAAUAUGAGUAACAAGUUGUUAGAAGUGAGUAGUACUCUUCUUGUGAUUCAAUUGUUCAACAAUCUCGAUUUAUCAUAAUCUUUUUCCCCUUCUAGUCUGUUGUGAUCAUGGAUAGCCGAGAAGUUAGACAACUUGUUGGGCCCGAGGCUAAACCACGAAGUGGAUAAGACAGCCCAACAAUAGGUUUGCUUGGAAUCCAGGUUGAGUACAAAUAAAAGGGUAAUCACUGUGGUUUUGGGAGUUUAUGCAGAUUGUGAAAGAAAUUGUUUGUUCCUCCCAUCUCUUUCUAGAGUCUAAGCUUUUCAUCCACAUUUUUAUCUCUAUCUUUAGUUACUUGUUAUUUAAGUAUUUUCCUUUGUAAUUCUAUAGUUGAAGUGUUGCCGUCGUGAUUUGUCUAUCAGUGAUUACAUAUUACUUGAGUAUUUGAGUUGCGAAUUUAGAUUCGUUACAUAGUCUUUGAGGAAAUUGGCUUAAAGGUUUACAAGUCAUCGUCCGCUAGUUACAUUACUACAUCCUUUAUUUCCUUAGGUGGAAUGGAAUAUUGAUGGAUUUUCCCUUGUUAACUAAAUGUGAAAACUAUUGUGUACCUAACAAGUUUGAAAAUAGCAGAAGAGACAACUAAUCACUAACUCAGAAUAUUGACCUUUUAUGAUGGUAUAGAUUCCAUGGAGCUUGGUUUCCUCUAUUCCAAACGUACCAUAACUGUUGUCAUAAUUGGUGUCCCUUCUUGUCACAUGGAAGAUGAAAUGGAGUAACAUCAUGUCUUUAUUGCUCAUUUAUUUUUAUUUUUCUCAAUUGACUUGGUUAUACAAUAGUUUCUCUCUUUGAAAAGUAUUGUGGAAAACAGAAGAAGAGAUGUUGAUGGAAAGCUAGACAAGAAUGACUUAAAAUAGGAGUUCAAAUUUCUACCUAUCCAUCUAUACUAAUGUUAAAUUGCUAUAAUAUUUUCAACUUAAAACACUUAAUUUAGUAUAUUUUUUAUAAUUUAUAAUAUGUUAUAUUAUAUUUAUUUAUUUAAUUUAAAAUAUAGUGUACUACAUGAUUUAGCAUUCAUGUGCAAUGCACGUGCAACAAACCUAGUACUAUCUUAAAAACUAUGUUACUUAGAUUAUUUAAAAAUGUCAACAGGUACGUGUUAGAUUCUUCAAAAGUUAUGUAUUUUUUAAGAAAUCAACAUUGGUGCAACAUCAUCAUCUUUUUGGAGAGCCUGAGCAACAUAGUUCAUUUAUACAAGAAAAUUGGAAAAAGAAGUGCAAUAAGCAUAUAGAAGAAGCAUGAAAUAGAAAGAGUAGCAUUGCUUAAUCAGCUAGUACUGUAGCUUAUCGUAAUCACUAGUAAUUGAUGAAUCACACUUGAAGCAUAUCAUGAAUUUGGGUUAAAGACUUAGAAGUCAUUGUCUGCUAGUUAAUACGAGACGGUCCUAUAUAUGAAGAAUAAUGGAGUUUCCCUCAUUUUUGCUCUCCCAAGUAGGCACUUUAACAAUUCAAAAUUUAAACAAAUAAAAACUCGAUUUUACCUUUGACACACGUGAAUUGCACGCAUUUUACCAAGUAGGAUUUGAGUGUUUAUUUAUCAAGUAGGAUUCGAUCUUGGCUCACUUUGGCAACUCAAUUUAUCUCACAACGAUCCCAGAGAAGAUAUCCCAACGGAACUGGGACAAAUGAAUACGCUUUUAAGUUCUAGAUUUCUCAUGGAAUUGGCUCACUUGAAAGACUCCAAGGGAACUGACAAGACUAAAAAAUUUGCCAGAUUUUGUUGGUAUAAUAUACCACAAAUAUAAAACAUUAUAUUUUAAAAUAAAAUGACAAAAGUGAAUAAAUUAAUCAGUGAAUUUACGUGGGAAUCAGUGGCCAUAGGCUACAUUUCACUACAAGUCUACGACAAAAACAACUUUUAGCAGCAAUAAAUAUACACAUUAACAAAGAGUGCUAAAAUUUUACUGGUAUUAAUUAAUUGUCAUUGGAUUCAAUGUCUCUAUAGGCUUUAGGGACACUUACAAAAAGUGUUAAUUGCCGCUAAAAAUACAUAUUUAGUAGCGAUUAAGCUAUAGCCAUUAAUUAAUUACCCCUAAAGAUCAUUUUUGAUGUAGUGUAGAUCACUACACCUUUAUCUUGAGUCGAGGGUCCACUACUAGAAAACUGUAAAUUACCUGGAAAUUUCAUUUGGGAAUUAUUUUCGCAGAAAUUUCCUAUGAAUUUUCAUGCGGAAAUAUGAAAUUCCUAAAUUCUAGACUUCUCUACAUGCGAAAAAUAAUUUCCCAGAAAAAUUGGAAGAUAACUUUAGCGCCAUUUUUACAAAAUUAUUACCUGGGGAAUUAUUUGGGAAAAAUAAUUUGCAAGUAGCAUUUUCAUAGGUAAAUUCGCAANNNNNNNNNNNNNNNNNNNNNNNNNNNNNNNNNNNNNNNNNNNNNNNNNNNNNNNNNNNNNNNNNNNNNNNNNNNNNNNNNNNNNNNNNNNNNNNNNNNNNNNNNNNNNNNNNNNNNNNNNNNNNNNNNNNNNNNNNNNNNNNNNNNNNNNNNNNNNNNNNNNNNNNNNNNNNNNNNNNNNNNNNNNNNNNNNNNNNNNNNNNNNNNNNNNNNNNNNNNNNNNNNNNNNNNNNNNNNNNNNNNNNNNNNNNNNNNNNNNNNNNNNNNNNNNNNNNNNNNNNNNNNNNNNNNNNNNNNNNNNNNNNNNNNNNNNNNNNNNNNNNNNNNNNNNNNNNNNNNNNNNNNNNNNNNNNNNNNNNNNNNNNNNNNNNNNNNNNNNNNNNNNNNNNNNNNNNNNNNNNNNNNNNNNNNNNNNNNNNNNNNNNNNNNNNNNNNNNNNNNNNNNNNNNNNNNNNNNNNNNNNNNNNNNNNNNNNNNNNNNNNNNNNNNNNNNNNNNNNNNNNNNNNNNNNNNNNNNNNNNNNNNNNNNNNNNNNNNNNNNNNNNNNNNNNNNNNNNNNNNNNNNNNNNNNNNNNNNNNNNNNNNNNNNNNNNNNNNNNNNNNNNNNNNNNNNNNNNNNNNNNNNNNNNNNNNNNNNNNNNNNNNNNNNNNNNNNNNNNNNNNNNNNNNNNNNNNNNNNNNNNNNNNNNNNNNNNNNNNNNNNNNNNNNNNNNNNNNNNNNNNNNNNNNNNNNNNNNNNNNNNNNNNNNNNNNNNNNNNNNNNNNNNNNNNNNNNNNNNNNNNNNNNNNNNNNNNNNNNNNNNNNNNNNNNNNNNNNNNNNNNNNNNNNNNNNNNNNUUUUCCUCACUUGACUUAGUCAAGAAAUAGUUUCUCUCAUUGGAAAUUUCUUAGAAGUUCUGCAAAAAAAAUUUCCACAUAAUGGGGCCAACUUCACAUCAUCCUGCCUAACACACACUGAAGCGAUAGAUAAUGACCUCGAAAUAAACUCAACAUCUAGAGAAAAUUAGGACAUAGAGUCUUAUUUUGUUAAGUUUUCUCCGUCCUCUAGAAAGUCUUGUGAAACACUACAAAAUAUGAGUAACAAGUUGUUAGAAGUGAGUAGUACUCAUCCAUGGACCACAAGUUGCGUAGUUAGUGAUGCGAAAGUGGUACUAUCUACCAACACUGACUUAAAGACUUGAGUUAACACUUGGGACAACUCUUUUUGCAACCACAAAUUAGUUAGUACCCCAUUUUAUACCUCAUAGUCUCAUGCAUAGAUAAGUCAACCACGUUACUUUAUCAAAUAGUGUUUAGUUAAUUGCUCGUUGUAAUAAUUAAGNNNNNNNNNNNNNNNNNNNNNNNNNNNNNNNNNNNNNNNNNNNNNNNNNNNNNNNNNNNNNNNNNNNNNNNNNNNNNNNNNNNNNNNNNNNNNNNNNNNNNNNNNNNNNNNNNNNNNNNNNNNNNNNNNNNNNNNNNNNNNNNNNNNNNNNNNNNNNNNNNNNNNNNNNNNNNNNNNNNNNNNNNNNNNNNNNNNNNNNNNNNGUUCGAGGUUCUUAUUAAUAUUCUAGGAAGGUUUUAAACGCAUCUAGAAUAUCCACUAAUGUGGUUAUCCGACGAUUAAUUUUUUUGGCUAAAAUAAUUUAACUUAGCUUGAAUUGCAAAAUUGAACUAUUAUAUAGUUGGGACCAUUUUAAGAGAAAAAUAUCAAAAUACUAAAAAAUAAAUUUAUCCAAGUGAAAUAUUUUGUAAACUUAUUUAUUUUAUUUAUUUAUUUAUUUUUAGGUCAAGUAGGAGAUGAAUAGUUUAGUUUAAAUAAUUAACUCAAAAUGGGUGUCUUUUGGGGGGUUUGAAUGUUUGAAACCUUAAAAUCAAUAUCAAUUAUUAACAAAUAAAUAAACACAAUAAAAUAAAGAGAGAGAAUUAGGCCCAAGUCUGGAUUUCCUGUCCGUCUGGGCCAGUACUUGGGCCUAAUUUCAGUUUUGGGCCCUUGGCCCAUUUAAGUCAUUUGUACCUGUCCUAUUCUAACAUAAUAGAACUAUUUUCCAUUUGGGGGCCUUAGGCCCAAUUCUUCCACCUGUUCAAACUAGCACAAUAAUUGCAAAUAAAAUGACAAGGGCUUAGGCCCAAAAAAUAACAAAAUACAACUUCUUAAAGAAGAGUGGGCCUCUUUAAGGCCAUUUUCUCAUUUUUCGUAUACACUAGGUGUAUACUAGUGUAUACAAUCUCGUAUCAGCUCCAAACCCUGUUCAUCAAAUUUUUGGGACCCCUCCUUCAAUUGCUAUGGUUGGUUGACUCGAUAAAGGAUUUUUGGGGCACUCGUGGCCCCCUUUGGAAUGCAAAGGUUGAGUCCAUGAGGACUUGGGCAUAUUUCACAUGAAAAGACACAUAAAUAAGAAUUAGCACCUUAUUAUAGGUUGAUGAAAGUAAUUAUGAAUUGAUUAAUAUUAGACUCAAACUUAAACAAGUUCCAAUAGAGUAGUAAAUCCACGGUGAUUAUGCAAACGAAGCCUUAUCACAUUACUCAACUAACAUGAAAGACAUGGUAACCUCUCAAUUAAUAUAAACUCAAGUUUCCUUUCAAAAAGUAUGAAAAUAAAAAAAAAGUAAAGCAUUAGAAGGAGACAGUAGCUAUGAUGUCAAAUAAUUAAGUGGCUAAAAUUCUAAAGAAAAAUUAUUCUGAUUAUGAAUCUACACCCAGAUGUAGCAUCUAUGAUAAACACACUUGUCACAUAAUUAAAUAUAGUCCACACAUUUCAAAAAUAAUAAUAAAUAAAUAAAUUAGGAGAAUACUUCAACUUUGCAUAUAUCUAAAAAAAAAACAAAGGAAGAGAAAAUCAAUAAGGAUUAAAUCGACUAAUACAUAGACUCUUUUUUUUAAAAAAUAAAAUAAAAUAAAAUAAAGAAAUAAGAUAAAAAUAAAUAAAUAAAUAAACAAGAGCUAAUUGAUUACAUACAAACGAAACGAAACGGUUAACAUGCUAGACUCAGUUUAAGCUUGACUAAAAAAUUUCUGAAUAGACGAUUUACCACAGAUUUAGUGCAUAUUGCAAAACCAAUGAGGUAGGACACUUUAUCCAUGGACAAACCAACAAAUAUUGCUUAUGAAAUAUAGCAAGAGAUCACAUGAUUUGCAGCCAUGAAUAGGAGGGAGCUUGGGGAUUUGCAACUUUAUUAAAAAGGGGGAAAGGAGGGAAGAAUAUACGUCAUUUAACAGACAAGAUUAGACAUUCAAAACAUAAUUAUUAAGACUACUUCAUUAUUUUGUUUCCCACCCGGUGUCCGGAGCCCACUUUGGAGUUCCGACUAAAUUCGGAUCGCGCUUUGCAGGGCCCAUUCGGGGGUGGCGCUCCCAACAAAAUUUUCUCCAUACCCAGGGCUCGAACCCGAGAUCUCUGGUUAAGGGUGAAGCACUCCCACCAGUGCACCACUACCCAUGUUGGUACCGUAUCCCUUAUUUCCUUAGGUGGAAUGGAAUAUUGAUGGAUUUUCCCUCAUUAGCUUAAUGUGAUCGAAAACUAUUGUGUACCUAACAAGUUUGAAAAUAGCAGAAGAGACAACUAAUCACUAACUCAGAAUAUUGAUCUUUUAUAAUUCUAUAAUUCCGUGGAAAAAUUGCAUCAAAAUUUAAUGUAAUUGUACAACUUGGUUUCCUCUAUUCUGAAUGUACACUAAUUGUUCUCAUAAUUGGUUCAAUGACGUGUCUUAACCUUUUAUGAUUAUAUAAAUUCUGUGGAAAAAUUGCACUAAAAUCCUCAAUUGACUUGGUCAUAUAAUAGUUUCCCUCUUUGAAAAAGUAUUGUGAAAAACAGAAGAAGAGAUGUUGAUGGAAAGUUGGACAAAAUCAUCAUAUAUCUAUCAUUUUGGCCUUAUACUAAAUUAUAUAUUAUUAUAUUUAUAUAUUAUUAAAAGUGGAAAGCUCUUGUCUUCAAAGUUGAUUUACCAUUUUGCUCUUAUAUUAAAUUAAUUUUUUUAUAAAAUAAUUUUUCUUUACACCAUAAUUAAAAAAAAUCAAUUAAAUUAGUUUUCAAUANNNNNNNNNNNNNNNNNNNNNNNNNNNNNNNNNNNNNNNNNNNNNNNNNNNNNNNNNNNNNNNNNNNNNNNNNNNNNNNNNNNNNNNNNNNNNNNNNNNNNNNNNNNNNNNNNNNNNNNNNNNNNNNNNNNNNNNNNNNNNNNNNNNNNNNNNNNNNNNNNNNNNNNNNNNNNNNNNNNNNNNNNNNNNNNNNNNNNNNNNNNNNNNNNNNNNNNNNNNNNNNNNNNNNNNNNNNNNNNNNNNNNNNNNNNNNNNNNNNNNNNNNNNNNNNNNNNNNNNNNNNNNNNNNNNNNNNNNNNNNNNNNNNNNNNNNNNNNNNNNNNNNNNNNNNNNNNNNNNNNNNNNNNNNNNNNNNNNNNNNNNNNNNNNNNNNNNNNNNNNNNNNNNNNNNNNNNUCUUUGCAUUUAAUAAUUAUAAUAACCAUAACUUUAUAUGAAACGUUGGUGGUUCAAUUAUUUAAUUGUUACGUUAACCAAUGGCCAACUUCUCAUUGCUACAGUAAGUACAAAGAAGUUGAAAAGUUGAAUUGAAUAUUAAUUAGUAAAUUAAUUCAUUAGUAAAUAAAUGAAAGGAAAUUUCAAAGGUCUAGGAAAAAAUAUUAUAUAAAGGCUAAACGAGUUCACUAAUUUCCCAUCUGCUCUUUGUAACUUUUGAGAUUGAAUGCAAAUCAUUUUAACUUCGAUUUCAUUUUUUCCCUUUUCUUUUUAUAUCCUUUGAUAGUUUGCAUAUAUAAAAGAAGAGAUGGGAGUAUGUAAGAUUGUUUUUUAUGCCUUCUAAUAGUUUGCAUAAAAGAAGAGAUGAGAAGUAUGUAAGAUUAUUGAUGCCAAAUUAGAGUAGCUGUCAUAUUCAAUUUUUACUACUCUUGAAUUAUCAGCUAUAAUAUAAUCUUCCGAGAAAUUAUGAUCAAAAUCACCAUCUCUCCUCCCUUUCAACUAUCAGUAUUACACCGUUUAUACUAGUUUUGUAAAAAAUUUAAAACAUACUAUUUUGGUGAAUUGAUUUAAACAAUGGCUUAUUUUGGUCAAAAUUUUGAUUUCUCCGGAAGGUUGAUCAUAGUUGACAUAAAUGAAUUCAUUGUUAUAGUAUAAUCUGAUUACAAUUCUUUAAGAUACAAAGAUAUUAUACUCUCUACAAAUAAGUUAUUUCAUGAUAUAAAGAAAUGGUGUUAUUUGAAUGCGUUGAUUGAUGCUCCUCUUCACGUUGAUUACUGGCUAUAACCUUUUAUCAUCAUUGCAAUAUUCAACUUUAACUUGAAUUAUUACUUGAAAAGAACUCAUUAAUCUUUUUUGUGUAUGCAUGGCAUAUUUGGUUAAUUAGAAUUACAAUACUUUGAUUUCACAUGUAUUGGAAUUUCAUUUGUUUCCAUGCACAAUUGUUAAGCUUAUAACAAUUAGCUUUAAAUUUUUAAUUAGCAUAUAUUAUUUGCGUUUUGUAAAUUUUAACGAGAAUUGUUUUAAAUAUCAUAUCUAAGUUUUUUGUUUAAAUAUUUCAGAUUCAUUGUUUUGCUAUUUGGUGUGAGCAUCACAAUUCAUUAUUCAAUUAUUAUGUCAUGAAAUUUAUUACUUAAUGUUAUUAGGUGCAAAUAUUUUGCUUAUAAAGAAGUAUUAGUAUUAAAUAUUUGCACCUAAUAACAUUAAGUAAUAAAUUUCAUGACAUAAUAAUUGAAUAAUGAAUUGUGAUGCUCACACCAAAUAGCAAAACAAUGAAUCUGAAAUAUUUAAACAAAAAACUUAGAUAUGAUAUUUAAAAAAUCAUUUAGUGCUCAACGAAGAAGUCAUUCAAAUUGGAUGAGUGUUACAUUCAUCAAUUUUAGUUUGUACUUUUUUUUGUUAUUGAUUACACUAUGGUUUUAAUAUAACUUAUAUCGUGUAUACUACUUGCUUGAGACACACGUGCAACGUACGUGUUCAGAAACUAGUAUAUCUAUAAAAGCAAACGACAGAAAACUGUGAUCCUUCAAUACAAUAAGUUGAUUACUCAGUUUUCUUUGCUUAUGCAUCAUUUUUUAAUUUGAUCACUACACCUUUAUCCUGAGUUGAGGGUCUACGAAAACAGCCUCUCACUACACCUCUUCAUAUUUGAACGGUAUCAUAUAGAUGAAAUUUCCCUCAUUAACUUAAUGUGAAAAGUCUUUUGAAAAACAACUAAUCGGAAAUUAUUUCUCAUAAAAUUUCUCUACAGGUGUAGUGAUCUUCACCAAGUUAUUCAAAACAUAUAGGAAAUUAAGACGAGUUAAUACAUCAGAUGGUCACUCAACUAUGCACUAUUUUCUCAGAAAGUCACUCAACUUUGGUUUUAAACUUAAAAGUCACUCAACUAUGAGUUUUUUUCUCAGAAAGUCACUCAAAAAUACAUGUUUAGUAGCGAUUAAGCUAUAGCCGUUAAUUAAUUACCUCUAAAGAUCAUUUUUGAUGUAGUGUAGAUCACUACAUCUUUAUCUUGAGUCGAGGGUGCACUACUAGAAAACUGUAAAUUACCUGGGAAUUUCAUUUGGGGAUUAUUUUUGCAGAAAUUUUCUAUGAAUUUUCAUGCGGAAAUAUGAAAUUCCUAAAUCUAGACUUCUCUACAUGCGAAAAAUAAUUUCCCAGAAAAAUUGGUAGGUAACUUUUGCGCCAUUUUUACAAAAUUAUUACCUGGAGAAUUAUUUGGGAAAAAUAAUUUCCAAGUAGCAUUUUCAUAGGUAAAUUUGCAAGUAUUAAAAAAUUAAUUUUUUAGUAUGUUUGCAAGAAAAUUCCUAGAAAAACCUAUUUGCAGAUUUAGCUAAAAAUAAUUACUUGAAAAUUUAUUUGCAAAUAAUUUUAUACGUGUUAUUACCUGGGGAUUGAUGUUCUACAAAUUUUGUUGGGAAUUUAUUUCUUGAGGAUUUACUUGGGAAUUUUUCUUACUUGGAGAAUUACUUGGGGAUUUUAUUGUUGCGAAUUUGGUUGAAGAUUUGUAUAGGAAUGCAUACUUGAAUUUUUUUAAAUACAAUUUAAUUGGAAGUAUUUUCUUGGAAUCUAAGGAUUUUUUUAUUUGGAGUCUUCAAGAAAUAUUUCUUUAAAAUAUAUUUAACAAAAUCUAAAACUAUAAUAAUAUAAAAAUAACAAUGACAUUAGAAAGAAUUUUAUUGUUAAAUAUAUACUCUACUUUUAGAUUAAAUAAAUUAUUAUACAAUAAUAUUAAUCUAACACUAUAUUGGAACAUUACCACAAAUGUCAUGAACAAUAUUUUUAACUUAUAUAUAGUUACAAUAUUUAGUCCUAAAAACCAAUGAUGCGAUUUUAUUUUUUUGAAAGAUACAAAGCAUUAAAAUUAUAUGGCUAGUUAUUUAUCCUUAGAAAAAUAACUAUCAUAAAUAUAUUUAUUUUUUAUUAGAUAUUACUUUAUAUUAAAUUUCGUAUUUUUGAAUAAGUCAAUCACUGUUUAAGUAGAGUAAAAUUAAAUUAUAUACAUUAUUAAUGUGAAUUUUAAUCAACCCCUAGUUGAUAGAAUUAUAUUAAAUGAAAAAUACAUAAUUUUUAACUAUAUAUCAAAUUUAUAUAUAAUUUUUUCUUACAAGCAUUAAAUAUGAUAUAAUUUCUCUAUAGUAAGUUGUUAAAUGUUAUUUAUUUGCAAAUAUUUAUUAUUAAGUAUGUUAAAAUAUAAUUAUUAAAAAAGGUAAAUUAAAAUUAUAAAACCACAAAUACCUAAUAAGAUGUACUAUCAAUUAUUGGUUAUAACUUUCUUGCACUUUAAUUUAACUUAUAGAUUUAUUUAUAUUUUCAAUUAUUUAUUUAUACGAACUUUGUAUGUAUAAUAUAAAUUUUGUCUACAUUUAAUAUGCUUAGCUAUGGAUAUUAUCUCAUAGAAAGUGUAAGCAUAAAAUUUUCAUGAUAUGUUGGGUGGUGGUGAUUUAUUUUAAAUAUAUAGUUUCACUUUUUAAGAGUUAAAUCAAAUAAACUUUAGCCAAGAAAUAGUGUUUAGUUAACUUUUUGUUUUAUUUAAUAUGGAGGUCGUUGUAAUAAUUAAGAAAUAAAAUAGUGUUUAGAUAAUUAUAGCAUUCUUUCUUACAUGACUACUUAUUUUAUUGACUUAUUUAUAUAUUGACGAUCAUCAUGAACCCAUAUUAUUAUUUUUACCUUUUUAUUCCUAUUACUAUUUUUAUUUAUUCAUUAUUGAAAUAUUCUAAAGCCUACCAAACGGUAAAACCUUUUGCAUUAUGCAAAAUAAAUUGUUGGGUGUUAAAAAAAGAUCAAAUUGUUUUUGGUGUAUUCUUUGAAUUACAAGCACUGCAACAAACAACUACAACAAAAAACAACUUUUAGCGGCAAUAAAUAUACACAUUAUUAAAGAGUGUUAAAGAUUUUGCCGGUAUUUUAAUAUUAUUAUAUCAACUUCUGAAAUUCAGCACAAUUAUUUCAAUAUCAUUGUAUAAUCUUAUUAAUGUUUUGAGUAAGAUUUGAUUAUUCUAACUUUAUAUUAUAUUUUUUCAUUGAAAAAUUUUGUUGUUUGUAUUCUUACUUUAAAGGUCUGCGUACAUCCUACCUUCUUGAAACUUUACUCGUAGGAUUACAUUAAUAAGUAUGUUAUAGGUAUUCAAUUUACAUAGGACACUUAGAAAGUAGUAUAUAUCUGUGUGGAUAAGACUGAUUGAUUUGUAAGAAGAACACAUCCAUCCUGUUAUUUGGUGAAAUCAAACAAACAAAAAAUGGCCGUGAGUCUGUUUUUCUUUUAUUCAUUUCUCUGUUUUGUGUUUUUAAUAAGUGAAUGCUUUUCUUCAUCCUUUGAUCAUCAUCUUUGCUCUCCCACUGAAGCUUCCUCUUUGCUUCAGUUCAAACAAUCCUUUCAAAUUAUGUCCAAAGAGUACUUUAGUUAUUGGUCUGAUGGAGAUUCUUUCCCGAAAACAAAGUCUUGGAAUGAGAGUAGGGAUUGCUGCAGUUGGGAUGGAGUCACUUGUGACUUAUUAAACGGUCAUGUUAUCGGGUUAGACCUUAGUAGUAGUCUGCUUUGUGGAAGUAUUCAUCCCAAUAGCAGCCUCUUCCAACUUCAUCAUCUCCAAACACUAAACCUUUAUAACAACCUCUUCAAUUAUUCUUCAAUCCCACAUAGCAUUGGCCAAUUGACGAAUUUGAGGCAUCUCAACCUUUCUCAUUCUCACUUUGGUGGGAAAAUCCCAACAGAAAACUCAUACCUUUCUAAUUUGGUUUUACUUGAUCUUUCUGUGUAUGGAUUACAACUUGAUGAGAGAACAUUUGAAACAAUGCUUCACAACUUCACAAAUCUGGAGGUACUAGCUCUCUCUCUUGGCGACAUCUCAUCACUGAUACCUGUAAGUAUUCAUCCCAAUAGCAGCCUCUUCCAGCUUCAUCAUCUCCACACACUUAACCUUGAUAACAAUUACUUUUAUCCUUCUUCGAUCCCAAAUGGCAUUGGCCGAUUGAGGAAUUUGAGGCAUCUAAAACUCUCUGGCUUUGAUGGGAAAAUCCCAACAGAAAUCUCAUACCUUUCCAAUUUGGUUUCACUUGAUCUUUCUUAUAGUUAUAAAUUCUUACAACUUGAUGAGAUAACAUUUGAAGCAAUGCUUCACAACUUCACAAAUCUGGAGAUACUUUCUCUCUGGUAUGUCAACAUCUCAUCUCCGAUACCUGUGAAUAUUUCUUCUUCCUUAAGAUAUGUGGAUCUUGCACAUACUAAUCUGCGAGGUGUUCUCACAGAGAGCUUUUUCCUUGUGCCAAACUUGGAAAGCCUCAAAUUGAGUGGGAAUGAUCUUCUCAAAGGAGUUUUUCCAAAGAUCCACCGGAGCAACACUCUGUUAAUGGAGUUGGAUAUUUCAUCCACAGGCAUCUCCGGUGAGCUGCCUGAUUCAAUUGGCACCUUUAGUUCAUUGAAUAUCUUGAACCUCGGAGGAUGUCAAUUCUCUGGUUCCAUUCCCGAUUCCAUAGGCAACCU
rnacentral:lncRNA from 1 species